UUACCUUCCUUGAAUUUGAUUACCUUCCUUGAUCACCCGUUUUACAAAAGAUUUUGAUGCUUAGCCUUGCUUUAGAAAACAAAAUGUUUUGUUUUUACAAACUAUGAUGUGGCAAAGGUGGGUGGGAUGUUUUCGAAAAUAAAACUUGAUGGUGGAUCUGUCAAAGGCCUUGAUGGAUUCAACAUCGGAAAAGAUGUACCUCUGCCAGGUACCAAACUUUGGGUUUGAAAUAAUUAAGCUGAGACCGGGCGGGUGACUUGCACGGGAAAGGAGUCUCGGUGUAGUGUCUCCGUCUGAGUCGAUUAAGGACCUUGUCGAUGUAGGCCUGCUGACCGAGGACCCUUUAACUGGUCACAUGCCUCGUCAUGGGUAAGCUUUGCCUCGGGCGGACUAAGGCCAGAAUAAGAUAACACGAAAUGAGCGUGGAGCGGUGGCGAGAGUAGCGUGUACCCUCCGUGGCAAGAGGCUGGACGGUGGUGUAUCUGUGCUCUCGGUUUGCGUGAACCUGAUCUGGUCUUAAGAACCCCGGUGGCGGGUUGACAUAUGCAAGGGUUAAGUGCUACAUAUGUCGUGUGAUUGGAGAUCCUCAGCUGAGUAUAAUCGAUUCGGAUCGCCGUACCUUCGCGGUUAUGAAGACUUGGUCACUGACUUACACGUAGCAAUCCACUAAAGAUGAUGGUUUUGUUAAGAAAUUGGCUAGUGCAGGACAAGUGAUUGAACUAGGGUAGAAAGAACUCUAGCUGCAGGUAAUUUUACUUAACCUGACAAUAAAAUUCGAUUUUAAGGAUCCACUCGUAGUAAGCUUUUCUGCAAAACAGAGUCUUUGAUUGUUGAUAAGCCAUACCUUGACUCCCUUAAGCCAGCAUACCCUUGAGAGUCUUUUCUUUAGUCGGGUAAGUCUUGCUGAGUAAUUCCAUACUCAGGGUUUUAUUCCCUGUUGUUUUUCAGGUUCUAACUUUGUGCUAUUGUUGAUGGUGUUAAGUGCCGGUGGGCUCGGCCUUCUUAUAAGUCUAAGUAACCCUUCUAUACUUCUUAUUGAGGAUGAUCCCUUGAGCUAGCAUAUAUUUCAAACUUAUACUUUUUGUAAUCACUCCGAUAAACUAAUAUAAAAUUUUUGUAACUUGUAAAAUUUGGUAGUAAGAUUUCCGCUGCAAUAAUAUUGGUGUGUGUGAUUUGUAUUACUUAAUCCCGCGAUCUUGGUUGUAAGUGGUUUAUCCGAUGUCCUUGGGGCAAUCGGACAGAUCCUGUUAAGUUAUCUGGUGCACAUGCAUAGCCGUCUGAAGUCUUUGGGACAAGGACAGGUGCAUGUGGGCCCAAUAACUUGGAGGUUCUGCCACAGGCUGGUAUCGGAGCAGGAUUAAGUAUAUACGGUCACAUACGUAUUUUCAAAAUAAAGUUUUGGUUUUAGAAAACCUAUUUUCAACUAAACACAUUGUUUGGCUUUGAAAAACAGUUUUGAAAAACUAUAAUGCUAGCGACAUCCUCUGUUAAGCCCUAUACUAAGGAUUAUCAGGUGGCUUAGUUAAAACCACUAACCCACAACCGGGUGGGUAUUGCAUACAUGUGUAAUGUUAUUUUUGAGGCCAUUCAGUUUUGAAUGGAUCGACGCUCAGGUAAGGUGAGAUGUGAGAGCAUGACCGAACAAACGUCGGUCUAGGGAAGAGUAUAAAAAGCGCUUGAUUAUAUACAUGUUCUACAUAUGUAUAUAUGAAGGCUACGAUGUGGAGUAUUUACUUUUCUGGGAAUUCAGUACCCCAUGGAUGUGUAUGGGUAUACAGACAUGGGAGUACUGAGAAAUGUAAUGUACUUGUAACGACGCACCUACGCUCAGGUAAGAAGGUGAGUUACCAUAAUGAGUUGCCCUAUGGUUAAAGUGUGGCAACGGCGCCUAUGCGUGGCUCGGCGCUUAAUGAUGAGCUGGCCUCCAUAUAGAAAUAUAUGGAGUAUAAACUGUGAUAAACUGUCAUGUGUGAACUGCAUCAUUGGGAAUUGGGUUGUGAUGGAUUUUUCUGCAGGUACACUAACCUCGAAAACGUAUGUGUAGCUGACGAUUAGCAAAAUAUCGAGAGAGAACAUAUGCCACCGAUAUAGAACGCUAUUGCCACAUUAGAUUGGCAAAAACUCGUGAGGACGUGUAGGACGAACAUGCAUCCUGAUUGUUGCAUCAUGUUUGUCACCUAUACACCCAAAAUGCUUCUCUCAUCCUUAUUCCAGUAACCAUUGAUUGUAGAUAAUGUGGUGUAAUGCUGAAUUAUGAACUUCGAUGAAAUAGGUGUCCUUCAUUCUUUAGGUGACCUCUUAGGGUGUUUUAUGUGUUUGCCCUUGUACUUGAUGUGCCGAUAGAAGGUUAGUGACUUGUUUGCCUAAAUCGGAAAUUAGGCCAUGUUCUUAGUUAGUGAGCCAUGACCCAAAGUUGAUUUUUCCGUUAUCAUUCCAUGACCAAACACAUACAAAUAAAUGCUUAGAUAAUUUCUUGUUGGAAAUAAAGUGCACCCAAGCUUAAAACAAGGAUCUCAAGUCAUGUCUCCUUUUAGAACCAUUCCCUUGUUCAGUUGAUGCAGGUUGAGGUCCCUAUUGUAUUCGGCCUCUCCUUGUUGACCAUCUUGUCGCCUUAUCAACCUAACUUAGGAAAGUCAUACCUAAUCAUUUUCCUUCGUUUGAUGCCUUUAGUUCCCCAUCUUUCUCGAAGGCAUACCCACUUAACCUUGUGAUUGUUUUCCCUACGUAUCUAGUCAGAUACUAAUCCUUGACUUGUAAUCCAUCUGAUGGGCAUAGAAAUAUGCUUGGGGCUAAAUUAACAGUCUCUCAUCGUACUUCUUUCAUCAAGUUUAGGUUAUGGCCAUGUCUUGUUUAUUUCAUCGGGCCAUGAUCUAUUUGGCUCUCUACUUGUAACCUUUUUGACAGGUAGAGUAUCUUUGUAUAUUGUCACCCUUGCACAAUUCAUUUGUGUGGUGUGAGAUUUCUUAUUGGUUACAUCUGGUAAUGGUGUUAUGACUAAAACCAGUGGUGUCGUGACGAAACCGAGGGCCUUCUGUGGGUGCGCGCACACGGUUGUGCUGCUCGGCACACGCUAGUGUCACAGUUGGUAGUCAUAAUCCAUUAUGAGAUUAUAUCAAUAUGUUAUCUCUGCACGAAUUGUUCUUACCACAUGAGAUUCAUUAUUGGUGCCAGUUUUAUAAUGGUGUUAUGGUUAAGGACUUAUGGUACCGCGGCGAAACUGAGGGCCUCCUGUGAAUGCGCACACAGGAUUUUGCUGCUUGGCGCAUGCCGGUACCAAGGUCUCUGGUCAUGAUCCAUUGUGGAACUACACUUAUGUGUGAUCUUCUGUGGACUCCUCCCUUGAAACAAUUUCUAUGUUGUUUGUCAAGUUAUCAAGCAACAUCUAUCAUCUCCGUUGGAUCAAAAGGGCAUACCACUUUCCUGUGUGGUCUUAUUUCUUUUGAUCUUGGUAGUGACUACUCAUACAAGUUCCCUUUACAUCCUUUCUGUAAAGGUGAAUCCUUGGAGCUUUUUAGUGUUGGAAAACAACUGAUUAGCUCUCAAACUAGAGAUUGGAUUUUCCCUGCUGCUGAGAUGCAGGAGUUUGUUCAUUCACUCUCUUAUUUAUUCCAUGUAUUCCCUACCCAAGCGGAUAAUGCAUCUCGCAUGAAGAAACGGAUGAACAACAUGACCAAAUGGAUUUCCACCCAAAUGCAUGACCUUUUGCUUGCAAAUGUAAACUCUCAACCCUUGACAUACCAAUGGUACUGAGAGGACCUGCUCAAUGUUAAAAGUAGUUCAACAAGUUGGUUUUACUAACUUGUAACUGCCCAGUUAACAAAGAUUGAGUUUAGAGAUCGUUUUAUCGAGUUGUCUAAACUCACUUUGGUUCAACCCAUCCUAAGGAAGUACUUACAAGAAUCGAGAUUAAGUCGACCAGAAACCACCUAGUCAUCGCUCUAGUCAUGCCUCCAUCGCCUCGCGUGUGCUUUUCCAGCGUGUGUGAUCAUGUCGAGUCAUGCCUAGUGCUUGAUAAAAUGGAAUAGACACGAAGUCUGCAUUUAUAGCUUCCUUGACCAGUGAUUUUUCGAGUCUCUAUCAUUUUCUUGGACUUGGAAUCUCUAGCUAACACGGGUUAACUGUGAUGUUAUUCGACAUUCACACCUGUCUCGUGUGCUAUGAACUUACCAUGACCCCUUGUUAGUAAACCUCUUUCUGUGUGUUUUACCCAGGAGGUUGCAUCUGAUUCUGUUUGGGUAAAAUUGCAUACCUGUCGCUUGCUCAACAGACUCAGAUAGUACAGUAUCGUCAGAAAAAGCAAACUGCACACAUGGAACCUUAUGUGUUCUUUUGGCAGACAUCGCCUCUGCUAAUGGAUAUCUCCAAGUUAGCUUUCGGCGAUACAUGCUAUAUCGACUAGAGAAACGACAUCCUGAGACACUCAUCUUUGCUUGGAGUGUCUCACGAUUAUCGCUGAUAUGGAUAUGGGUUACAUGCUUCUCUACUCUUAGAAGUCUUUCGUUCCGAAUCUCGGGACGAGAUUCUUUUAAGGGGGGAGGGCUGUAACACCCCUGGUGUUUAUAUUCUGCUCGACAGCGAGUACGGGUGUAAGCACGUAAUCAGUGGAUAAAACAGAUGCCAAAAUUUUAAAGUUCUUCGUCUAUCGUGAUUUUAAUAUCGCAUCUGUUCCUUCUGUCGCGAGUGCGACAUCGUUAUUAUUUUUAGCUAUCCGGGCUUGUCCUAAAUUUUCGUAAUGUUCGGGACAUCGUUGUUCCAAAAAUCGGUGCGUCCGGUGAUUAUUUAAAAUUCAUCGCUUGCACGGGUACGAAUUCGGAAGCCCGACUUACUCGGAUAAUUUUUAUCCCGGAUAGAUUAAUUAGAGCUCGACGAUUAAAAUAUUCGGGGUAAAACAAUUCGAAUCGCGUGAAAUCAUGCGCGAGAUUAUGAUCCCAUUCGUUCUUCAGCACGCUGUUGUGGCGACAAAAUCGCGAAUACGAUAGCGGAUUUGGUUUCGGCUAAUUUUAGUCGAAUUCCACAGAGUAAAUUAACGAAGACAAAAUUAGUCUUAUUCGGGCCAUCGUUUCUUGCCCGGAUCCGAAUCUUCGGAUAUAAGUAAUUAGCGAUUAAAUUGGUUCGCUAAAUCCGAAGCAUGUCAUGUGUAUUUGUGUGGUGCGUUAAUCCUUUAUUCAGCGCUAAAAAAAAUGUGAUUCAAAAUAUCUUUAAUUGCCGUUAAGAAAAAGAGAGAGAAAAGAAAAUCCGGAAAAUGGAAAAAUACCCACCGUUCCUAUCUCUUCCACCGCGCGCACGGUCUUCAGAUUUUUUUUCCACGAGCGGUGCUCUUCUCUCCCGCCGUUCUCACUUUCUUCUCUGAUUUCUUGAUUCUUUCUAUCCCAGCGUCGAUCCUUAUCCCCGCCGCUCUUCUCCCCUUCAGAUCUUUCAGCCGUCAGUAUUUAUCUGCGCAGUUCCUCUGAUUCUCAUCCAUCGGCGUUCCUUCGCCCCCAGCUCGGCGCUCAAGCUCCCUUACACCGCGCGCCCUAGCAUCUGCUCACCUCUGCGCGCGCUUCUCUCCAUGGAGCGCUCGACCGGAGCUCUGCUCCCCUGCUCCUCUGCGCCGCGCCCUUGUCUUCAGCCGGCGCUACCUCUUUUUCAGCGACGUCCAGCUUCAUCUCCCUCAACUCCCACGGCCGGAACUCCCGCUGCCGCUCGGCUCUAGUGAAAGAAGCUCCCUGUGCCCAGCGCUCCCUGCUCCAUCUUCUCGUGCGCGUGCGUCCUCGCCGCGCCGAGCGCCGUGAAGUCUCUGCGCGCCGCGGGCUCGAUUCUUUCAUCCCGCGCGCGUCCCCUGUGUUUCUCUGCUCGGCCUCUGUUACUUCUGUUACUCCUCUGCGCGCAGCUGCAUCCCACUGCUUGGCUACGGCUCAUCCGUUGCGCUCGGGUCACCCUGGUAUUCUAGCUCGUCGUCGCGUUGUUUGCCGUCGACCUCGCUAAAUCGCCCUCGCUAAAUCGCCCCUUGCUCGACGCCGGUGAUGGCCGUCGUGGAGCACCGCUGUAAACUCCCAGCACCCUUGCCUCUGCUCUAGGAAAUAUCAAGCCUUGAACAACCAUCAAUUUGUUGCGACGUGUGUGCGCUACUCGUCCCACGUCGUCGUCUUUGUGUGUGGACAGCCCCGUCGCGGCAUGUCUGCCAAAUCAUCGCGUCCGUGCUGAGUUCCCUGGUCAUCGCGUUUUUUCUUAUAGAUGCUCAGUCUUACCGCGCGUCCUGUUUCCUGUUCGCCAGCGCGCCCUCUUGGCUCGCUCGGCUUUAAUUCCCAAUCGUGUCGUCGAUUCCACCGGUUAGCGUCAUUCGUCGUCGCGUCGCGUGUGUAGCUCUAUAUACGUCACUCUCCUGUGUCGUCGUCGUUCCACGUGUCGUCAAGAAAUUCCAAGAGUCGAGUGAAGAUGGAGCCAGCAGUAUGGUGUUCACCAAGUGCGCGACAAAAAGCUCGGACAUCCUGCGCGACUCAAGUUCGAUUUGUCAAAAUUAUUUAGUCGAGGAAAAGAUCUUCAGCAAAUGAUUAUCGAAGAAAAGAAGGCCCCUGGGUGACGUCAACCGGAACCUGUAGUCGUGCUUGCGACUAUCGCGUCGAAUUAGUCAGGAUAAGUUGAUUCGUUUUCCUGUCAACUAGAUCUAUAAAUAGAUUAAUAGAAUUAUUAGUCGCGAUAAUUGUUAUUAAUUUAGUAUACACAUAUUGUGAUGUUCGAUUUAGAUAAAUAGGUAAAUCAAGUAAUUAAGAUACACAGUUUAAAGAGUUAAUAAAAAGCUAGGAAUAAAAAUAGAUAUUCUAGUGUUAUUAUGUCAAUGGAUGUAGUCGAUGCCCUGUUGUGAUAUCCAUGGUGCUUAAUGUUUGGUUUUAAGUGUUUCAUCCUUUUAGUGAGAUUAUCUAUAUUAUACUCGUGCUCAUACAUGUGCAUCAUGCAUCUCAUGAGGUACGAUAAAUAAUCGCGCGAUGCGGAAGACAAGCCAAGUCGACCCCAAGCGCGGACUACUCCGCAGGAUGAAGCUGAUGGAUGAACCGGAAGAUGGAUAAUCUGAAUGAGUGUCAAGCCAAAGGAUACUCGCCAAGUGGUCGCCUAACAAACACUAACCUAGUGUUACUCAGGCAAGCCCCGGUGCAUUUGCCACCUUCCUUGAGGUUUUUAAAAUCUUUCUCACUUGAUUGCUGCAUUAGGUGAUAGGAGUUGAUUGAUAAAACAAUUCCUGCAUUACCUUCCUUGAAUUUGAUUACCUUCCUUGAUCACCCGUUUUACAAAAGAUUUUGAUGCUUAGCCUUGCUUUAGAAAACAAAAUGUUUUGUUUUUACAAACUAUGAUGUGGCAAAGGUGGGUGGGAUGUUUUCGAAAAUAAAACUUGAUGGUGGAUCUGUCAAAGGCCUUGAUGGAUUCAACAUCGGAAAAGAUGUACCUCUGCCAGGUACCAAACUUUGGGUUUGAAAUAAUUAAGCUGAGACCGGGCGGGUGACUUGCACGGGAAAGGAGUCUCGGUGUAGUGUCUCCGUCUGAGUCGAUUAAGGACCUUGUCGAUGUAGGCCUGCUGACCGAGGACCCUUUAACUGGUCACAUGCCUCGUCAUGGGUAAGCUUUGCCUCGGGCGGACUAAGGCCAGAAUAAGAUAACACGAAAUGAGCGUGGAGCGGUGGCGAGAGUAGCGUGUACCCUCCGUGGCAAGAGGCUGGACGGUGGUGUAUCUGUGCUCUCGGUUUGCGUGAACCUGAUCUGGUCUUAAGAACCCCGGUGGCGGGUUGACAUAUGCAAGGGUUAAGUGCUACAUAUGUCGUGUGAUUGGAGAUCCUCAGCUGAGUAUAAUCGAUUCGGAUCGCCGUACCUUCGCGGUUAUGAAGACUUGGUCACUGACUUACACGUAGCAAUCCACUAAAGAUGAUGGUUUUGUUAAGAAAUUGGCUAGUGCAGGACAAGUGAUUGAACUAGGGUAGAAAGAACUCUAGCUGCAGGUAAUUUUACUUAACCUGACAAUAAAAUUCGAUUUUAAGGAUCCACUCGUAGUAAGCUUUUCUGCAAAACAGAGUCUUUGAUUGUUGAUAAGCCAUACCUUGACUCCCUUAAGCCAGCAUACCCUUGAGAGUCUUUUCUUUAGUCGGGUAAGUCUUGCUGAGUAAUUCCAUACUCAGGGUUUUAUUCCCUGUUGUUUUUCAGGUUCUAACUUUGUGCUAUUGUUGAUGGUGUUAAGUGCCGGUGGGCUCGACCUUCUUAUAAGUCUAAGUAACCCUUCUAUACUUCUUAUUGAGGAUGAUCCCUUGAGCUAGCAUAUAUUUCAAACUUAUACUUUUUGUAAUCACUCCGAUAAACUAAUAUAAAAUUUUUGUAACUUGUAAAAUUUGGUAGUAAGAUUUCCGCUGCAAUAAUAUUGGUGUGUGUGAUUUGUAUUACUUAAUCCCGCGAUCUUGGUUGUAAGUGGUUUAUCCGAUGUCCUUGGGGCAAUCGGACAGAUCCUGUUAAGUUAUCUGGUGCACAUGCAUAGCCGUCUGAAGUCUUUGGGACAAGGACAGGUGCAUGUGGGCCCAAUAACUUGGAGGUUCUGCCACACGCCCCUAGCGCCCUGCCCCUCCCUAUGCCGCGCCCCCCACCACUGGUCUCCUUCCCCCCAUUCAAUUCUCCCGCGCACAACUCCCUCUCUCUCCCACCUCUAUCUCUUCCUCGUGGUGCCCUAGGAUUUGGUGACGCUGAUCGCCGGAAUUUAGAUCCCCGUGGUGAGCCCCCUCUUCUCUCUCUCUCUCUCUCUCUCUCUCUCUCUCCCUUCCCUCUUCUUCCUCCUCUCCCCACCCCACGCGCCCUCCCCUGGCCGCGCGCCCCCGUGCCCCUAGCGGCGCGCCCCGCGCCGCCUCCUGGCCGCGCCCCCUGCGCCCUCCUCUGUCGCGCCCCACGCUGCCCCCCGGCCGUGCCUCGCGCCGCAUUCUCGACCGCGCCCUACCUGGCCGCGCCCUCGCGCGCCCCUGGCCGCGUCCCGUGCGCCAUCUCGGCCUCAUGCCCUGGCAGCCCUCGUGCCCCGGCGGCCUCGCGCCCCGCGUGCCUGCGCGGCUCGUGUGCCCCCAUCGCGCACAGCGUGUUCGUGCGCGCGACUGUGACGCGCGAUGUUCAACUUUCAGUUUAAUCCGUGUUUCUUUAUUUUAGUUUAGUCGAUGUGCUGCGUCGCGCGCUUCGUCGCGCGACGAUUCAUUUUAAAAUUCAUCUUUAUUAAUGAGCUGUGUCACGCGCUUCGUCGCGCGAUGUUUCAUUUUAAAUUCAGUUCAGAUGACGUAUGCCGUCCUGCAUUUCGUCGCGCGACGCUUAACGUUUAUUUAUAAUUAAUGCAAGAGUCUCGUUGCGCGCCCCGUCCCACGACGGGUCGUUUAUUUAUUAAUUCAAUUUAAGUGUUGUGUCGCGCGUCUCGCCGCGCGACAAUCCUUUUAGUUUACCAUAAUCUGUUCAUAAUAAUUAAAUAUGGAACAUGACUUUACCUUAUGCUUAACGCGAUGGCUAAACUAAUACCAUUAUGUUUAGACGAGUAUUUUAAUUUGUAAUCGCGUGACGUGAUCGGUCGUCGGCCGUGGCCUCGACCAUUACUUUCUCUUUCUCACUUAGUCGUAGGCGUGAGCCCAGCGUCGAACGUCUGUCUAUUUAUUGCGUUCUAUUGUAUGGUGUACUGUUCUUUUGUAUUAAAUGUGUGGAAUGUAUGUUUGAACUCGUAUAGAUAACAAUCAAUUGGUGGAGUCCGAAGGAGUUGCAGGUGAAGUCCCUGAGCAGCAGCUGGUUGGUGAAGGCAAGUGUCCCUUGACCCAUCUAUGUCCUACUCAUUCUUAUAAUUCAUUCCCUGCAUUUACACAGUUUAUACCUAAGGAUUGACUAGCUUUUGUUUAUCUUGUCCUUGUUUACCUAUUUUGGUUGGGUUAUUAUGGUUUAGCUUUAUGCUAGUGCUUCACAUUAAUCAAUGAACAUGAUGAGAUUAUCCAUGAUACACUGUGUAAGGAAAAUGGACCCCGGGCCAUUUGGCUAAUUGAGUUUUGGUGUUUGAUGAUCAACACAAUCCGUGAACUAAUAAGUUUUCUAGUGUUUGUGUUUAUAGUUCACAGGAUGCAAGAUUAACUUGGACUAAGGAAUUGAGGAAAGCAACACCUCAAAAGAAGACAUUAAAAAGAUCCAAGAAAAGUCCAAGUGUGUUGCUGUAACGCCCUGAAUUUGGGGGUAGAAUUUUUUCUUCUUUUCCCUCACCAAAUUCGGGCGUUACUCUCUUUUCUCUUUCCCCGUUUGCUCCUUCUUCCCAAUUUCAAACCAGUAUAGCGGCAGGUGUCCGUGUCAUGUAUAAACCAAAACCUAAGUGUCAUGGGUGUUGCAUCAUGCCGAAGCACAUUUCUUUGUCUGAUGUUGUGUGUUCGUCUCGUUCCGUUCCGGAUUUCGGUUCGCGAUUUAAGUCCGUUUUGUGGUCGCGCUUGUCGUGGGUUUUCGAUCCGCGAAGUGGCCCGGCCCAGCCCAGCUCAGCCGGCCCGGCCCGCCCCGGCUUGCGCGCCCCUGGCGCCCAACCCCCCCCCCCAUGCGCCCCCCUCCUCUCCCUCUCUCUCAUUUGGAUUUCCCGCGCAACAACCUCUCCUCUCCCUCUUCCACCUCUCUCUCCCCGUGGUGCCCUAGGGUUUGGAGACGGCGAUCACCGGAUUUUGGACCCCGAGGUGAGCUCCCCUCCCCUCCCCUUCUCUUCUCUCUCUCCCUCUCCCUCCUCUUCUUCCCCACGCGCGCGCCCUCCCUCUCCCCCUCCCUCCCCGGCGGCGCUCGGCCCCGCCCCACCCUCCCCGCGGCGGCGCUCGGCCUCCCCGCUCGGCCCUCCCCGCUCGGCCCCCGCCCGGCCUCCCUCGCGGUGGCGCUCGGCCCCCGCCCGGCCUCCCCUCGCGGCGGCGCCCGCCCCUGCCCCGGCCCCUGCGCGUGGCGCUCGCCCGCCCCGCCCCUCGGCCCGGCUGGCCAUGGUGGCUCGGCGCCCUGCCGCGGCGCGGCGAGCCCCGCUCGCCCGCGCGCCCCCGCCCCGGCUCGGCAGCCCCCGGCCGGUUCAACCGCCCCCCUGGCCGGUUCAACCGCCCCGGCCCCGGCUCGGUCGCCCGUUCCCCCGUCCCGGCCUCGCCCGACCGUAUCUUCGCUCGCCCGCGCUCGCGGUGAUUAUUCGUUAAUUAGCGUGUUGCGUCGCGCGCUUCGCCGCGUGACGGAUUUGUCUAAAUUCAGAUUCUAUCUUGUGUUGCGUCGUGCGCUUCGUCGCGCGACGAUCCAUUUUUUGUUUCAGGUUGUUUAAGGUGCAACGCCGCGUGUGUAUUCACGCGACGUUCCACUUUGGACUCAGUUUAGUCGACGUAUGUCGUCGUGCGCUUCGUCGCGCGACACUUAACGUCUCCUCGUAACUAAGGCGAAGUGUCUCGUUGCGUGCUCGGCCGCGCGACGAGUCGUUAACUUCUUAAUUUGUUUUAGAGAGCUUUGUCGCGCGUCUCGCCGCGCGACCAUCCUUUUAUUUAUCUCCACCUGCUUAUAAUAAUUAGACAUGAAACAUGACUUUACUUUACGCUAAACAUAGUGUCUACAUUAAAUUUCCUUCCAUUAAGCGAGUGGUUAAUUUAUAAUCAUGUAACGUGAUCGUUUCUCGACUGUCUUUUCCUCUUUCUCUCUUAACCGUACUCGCGAGCCCGCGUGGAACGUCUGUUUACUUAUUGCAUUCUAUUGUAUGGUGUACUGUUCUUUUGUAUUAAAUGUGUGGAUGUAUGUAUGUUUGCAAUCGCAUAGAGAACGAUCCGGUUGAAGAGCCCGAGGAACUCGCAGGAGAAGCCCCUGAGCAGCAGUCGGUUGGUGGAGGCAAGUGUCCCUUGACCUAUCUAUGUCCUAUUCAUUAUUUAAUUCACCUCCCGCUUUACACAUUUAUGCCUAAGGAUUGACUAGCUUUUGUUAUCCAUGUCCUUGUUUACCUAUCUGGGUUGGAUUAUUACUGUUUAGCUUUAUGCUAUUGCUUAACUCUAAUCAAUGAACAUGAUGAGAUUAUCUAUGAUACGCUGUUUUCCCUUCUCUUAUUAUGAUGUUGUACUUGUGGCCUCAAGGGGGCUCGAGCGGUUUCUCGAGUGCCUCUCCGUAAGGACCUGUUCUAUGGAUGACCGCCCGGGAAAACAGUGCAACCAUGAGGGUGGAAUGGGAUGCCCUUAGCUGAAUAAUUAGAGGAUCCGGGGUGUAGUUCACUUAGCCGUCGUGCCGUCAAUGGGGCUCGGUGUAUGCGGCUCGCUCUGCCAAGGUUGAUUUGUCCCUUGGGGAGGAGUGCGGUACAUUUAGGAAACCUAACGGGUGGCUAUAGCCCCGGGGAAUCUUUGUAAAGGCUACGUAGUGAUGCCCUGCUGGGUCACCUUGGUAGUGAUCAAUGGAGAGUCAUGAUCUCCGGGCAGAAUGGGAAUCACGGCUUGUGGGUAAAGUGCACAACCUCUGCAGAGUGUUUGAAAACUGAUAUAUCAGCCGUGCUCGCGGUUAUGAGCGGCCAAGGGAGCUCCAGUGAUUAGUGGUACUUGAUCAGAGAUACUUUGGUACAGGUGGUUAUGAGAUUGAUGGUUUUGGUUAUGACUAUGGUGCUGGUAAGUGGUAUUCUUUCCGUUUGGAAAGGGUACAUCGGGUUAAUAACUUGGGUUAAUGCUAAAACUUGGCUUUCUACUAGUAAAUAAUAAUCUGACCAACUAAAAGCAACUGCUUGACUUAUCCCCACAUAAAGCUAGUCCACUACAGCCAAACAGGAUACUUGCUGAGUAUGUUGAUGUGUACUCACCCUUGCUCUACACACCAAACCCCCCCCCAGGUUGUCAGCAUUGCAACCACUGCUCAGGCGAAGAUGAAGCUGUGGAAGGAGACUUCCAGGAGUUCCAAGACUAUGACGAGUUCUAGGUGUGGGUUAGCGGCAACCCCCAGUCGGCUGCCUGUGAAGGCCGCAGUUAUCUACGUUUCUUUUCCGCACUUUGAUUUAUUGUAAGAACUAUAUGGACGUCUCAGACGUACGAUGUAAUCGACUAUUAUUUCCCUUUUAAUACUAUUUUGAGCAUUGUGUGAUGAUGUCCAUGUUAUGUAACUGCUGUGUACGUGAAUAACUGAUCCUGGCACGUACAUGGUUCGCAUUCGGUUUGCCUUCUAAAACCGGGUGUGACAUAAGUGGUAUCAAAGCCGUGCUGACUGUAGGACCGCUAACCUAGAGUAGAAUGGUCGUUCUAAGGACUAUAGACCUCUGUCCCUGCCUUGACUUUGAUAUCCCUUCAAAAGUUGGUCAUACCGACCAAACCUAUGUUCUACUAUACAUUAUACCUUGCUGAAAAUCAUGUUUUAUUCUAAUCCUUCAUUCACUCAUGAUUCAUUAUUUGCUGGUCCUAUUAAUUCUGUUCUCACCCUUUUGCUUGCGAUGUCUUUUGUAGAUGGCUCGACUUAGACACACUGCACGAAAGUCAGUCAUCCCCUUCUUACCCUCCCGCCUUGCUGAGCGUCCGCUUCGCCGUCCCGUGGCCGGACAGUCCAGCCACUUGGAGAGGCUGCACCACCGCCUGCAUGAGGAGCAGGAACGUCGACGACAGGAGCAGGAGCAGCAUGGCUCUUCUUUCUCGCUCCACCAGGAGAUAGAGUCUGUGAGGAGCUGCUCCCCUGUGCUUCCCCUGGAGCCGCCCCCUGCACCACCACUGGGCGUCCCAGCUUCUGGAGUAGCUGCUGGAGGAGACCCAGACGACGGAGGAGGCGACGACAGCUCAAGCCACGACACCGACUUCUCUGCUAACCUUGAGCCGGAAGGAUGGGUUGCUCGACCCAUCACUCGCGACGCUGCUCGCGGGUGUCACUUCCACGAUGCGCUCGACACCCUGCUACGUCGGGCAUUCGACCGGCAUACUUGGUCCGUCGAGUAUCGCUGUGUGGUCUACCAGCACAGUCGCGGGGUCUACCCGGACCGCUGGGAGGCAACUUGCUUGGUGCGCUGCCCGGAGAACAGUCUCCAGGGUGCAGAGGCCUGCUCAGAGCACUAUUCUAUUUCUGAGCGGGACUCAGCUGAGGCAGCCAUGCAAGAUGCUGCACGGCGUGCGCUUUCGCACUACUGCUCGGUUUUCGGUGGGGCAGCUGACGGUCUUGACCUGAAGUAUUACCCCCGCCGUCCAUCCGGCAGCACAGGAGGCGUGAUUGUCUCACCUGUCGGUGAGGGCAAUCCUAGGUUGAGCAGCACAGUCAACCUAGCCGCCGUGCUAAACACGGAGCUGGACCAUGCAUUAGACGAGCUGAGUAGGGCUCGUGCUGAGAUCGCCCUGCUGCGGGCUGAGCGCGCGGAACGUCGUCACCUGGACGAUGGUUCCCCCGCUCCCGUCGGGACUCAGCACCCGUACCGCUCACCUCAGCGUGGACACCAGUCUUAUGGCAAUCCCAACUGCAAGACCAAGAUAAAUCUAGAACCAUAGAUCGUUAGAGUUGGAUCUUGUAAUUAAUACGAAAUAUAUACGUAGAAGCUUCAGUCUUAGCGUUAGUCUCGGUCUUAGUUAAGUCUUAGUUAGACAGGGUAGUUUGCUAUAUCCUGUGCAUUUAUGUUUGUCAUGAUGAACUAUGUUUGGUUUGGAUCUUUGUAAUGAUUGUCACCAGAGUGUGGGUAUCCCCUGCAUUUUGGUUUACCUAUUAUGUUAAUAAAGUUAGUUACAUAGUUGGGAAACCUUUUAUUCCACUUUCCUCUUUAUCUGAGAAGCUGUGUGGUCUGUGUUGGAGAUCAGUGAAGAUGCUCAUCUGUUCAGUGCUGUUGAAGAAUUCCAUACUCUUUCCUUAUGCUGCAAGAUUUGCCAGAUCAGUUCUGAUGUGUGGUUGCAUUCUGCAGAUGUCAGAGAACAGGCGCAGAGGAGGAAGGCGUGCUCAACAGGAGCGAGCCGCUCAACAGGAGGAGGUGCCCCAGCAGCAGCACCUGCCGCCCCCGCCCCCGAUGUCCAUCGAGCAGAUGUUUCUGAUGCAGACUCAGGCAGUUCAAGCCAUUGGUCAGACUUUGGCCGCCAUUCAGCAGCAGCAGCAGCAACAGCAGCAGGCCCCACCUCAGCCUCAGAUGCCUCAGAUGCCCAGAGACAAGCGUGCUGAAUUCAUGAGAGGUCAUCCACCAACGUUUGCUCAUUCUUCUGACCCCAUGGAUGCUGAAGAUUGGCUGCGCACUGUGGAGCAGGAGUUGCAUACCGCUCAGUGCGAUGACAGGGAGAAGGUUCUGUAUGGUCCCCGUCUGUUGAGAGGAGCAGCCCAGUCAUGGUGGGAGUCUUACCUCGCCACCCAUGCCCACCCUGACGCUAUCACUUGGGAAGAGUUCAGAAGUAGUUUUCGUCAGUACCAUGUUCCUGCAGGUCUGAUGACAGUGAAGAAGGAGGAGUUCCUAGCUCUCAAGCAAGGGCCAUCGUCUGUCAGUGAGUACCGAGACAGGUUUCUGCAGUUGUCUCGCUAUGCUCCUGAAGAUGUCAACACUGACGCCAAGCAACAGUACCGUUUCCUGAGAGGCUUGGUUGACCCUCUACAGUACCAACUGAUGAAUCACACCUUCCCGACAUUCCAGCACCUGAUUGACAGAGCAAUCAUGACAGAGAGAAAGCGUAAGGAAAUGGAAGAUCGUAAGCGCAAGAUCAGUGGACCCCAGCCUGGAAGCAGCAAUCGUCCUCGUUUCUCAGGCAAUCAACCUCAGCAGUUCAGGCAAAACCAGCGUCCACCUCAGCAGCAUCAGCAGUUUCAAAGGCAGUAUCCUCAGCACCAGUACCAGAACCGUCAGAGCAAUCAGUCAGGAGGUCAGUUUCAGAAGCAGAAUCAGCAGGCACCUCGUCUUCCUGCCCCAGCAAACCAACAGAACAGUCAGGCAGCACCAGCUCAGGUUGGAAACAGAGCAUGUUUCCACUGUGGAGAGCAAGGCCACUGGGUGAUGCAAUGUCCGAAGAAGGCAGCCCAGCAGCAGUCAGGCCCCAAUGCCCCAGCAAAGCAGAAUGUGCCUCAGCCUGGAGCAGGCAAUCGCCCUCAGCCGCGUUAUAAUCAUGGAAGGCUGAACCACUUGGAGGCUGAAGCAGUUCAGGAGACCCCCGGCAUGAUAGUAGGUAUGUUCCCAGUCGACUCCCAUAUUGCAGAAGUGUUAUUUGAUACUGGAGCAACACAUUCUUUCAUUACUGCAUCAUGGGUAGAAGCACAUAAUCUUCCAAUUACUACCAUGUCAACCCCCAUUCAAAUUGACUCAGCCGGUGGUAGAAUUCGAGCCGAUAGCAUUUGUUUGAAUAUAAGUGUGGAAAUAAGGGGGAUAGCGUUUCCCGCCAACCUUAUAGUAAUGGGUACUCAGGGAAUAGAUGUCAUCCUAGGGAUGAAUUGGCUAGAUAAGUAUCAGGCAGUUAUCAGUUGUGAUAAAAGGACCAUCAAGUUGGUGUCUCCACUAGGAGAGGAAGUGGUGACCAAGUUAGUCCCGCCUGAGCCAAAGAAAGGAAGUUGUUAUCAGAUAGCUGUCGAUAGCAGUGAAGCAGACCCGAUCGAGAGUAUCAAGGUUGUGUCCGAGUUCCCAGAUGUGUUUCCAAAGGACUUACCGGGUAUGCCACCAGAGCGGAAAGUUGAGUUUGCCAUAGAGCUUCUUCCUGGAACCGCCCCUAUCUUUAAGAGAGCUUACAGAAUAUCUGGACCAGAGUUGGUUGAGCUUAAGAAGCAAAUUGAUGAGCUGUCAGAGAAAGGUUACAUUCGGCCAAGCACCUCGCCUUGGGCCGCCCCUGUCUUGUUCGUGGAAAAGAAAGAUGGCACCAAGAGAAUGUGUAUCGAUUACCGAGCUUUGAAUGAAGUCACGAUCAAGAACAAGUAUCCCUUGCCUAGAAUAGAAGAUCUGUUCGACCAGUUGAGAGGAGCCAGUGUGUUCUCCAAGAUUGAUCUGAGGUCAGGUUAUCAUCAGCUCAGGAUCCGACCUUCGGACAUUCCGAAGACGGCAUUUAUUACCAAGUAUGGUUUGUAUGAGUUCACAGUGAUGUCUUUUGGUUUGACCAAUGCGCCAGCGUUCUUCAUGAACUUGAUGAACAGUGUAUUCAUGGAUUACCUUGAUAAGUUUGUGGUGGUAUUCAUUGAUGACAUUCUGGUUUAUUCUCAAAGCGAAGAAGAGCACGCAGAUCACUUGAGGAUGGUAUUGCAGAGAUUGCGAGAGCACCAGUUGUAUGCAAAAUUGAGCAAGUGUGAGUUCUGGAUCAAUGAAGUCCUGUUCUUGGGUCAUAUAAUCAACAAGGAAGGAUUGGCUGUGGAUCCGAAGAAAGUGGCAGACAUUCUGAACUGGAAAGCGCCAACAGAUGCUCGAGGAAUCAAGAGUUUCAUUGGAAUGGCCGGAUAUUAUCGGCGAUUCAUUGAAGGGUUUUCGAAGAUUGCGAAACCAAUGACCGUGUUGCUAGGCAACAAAGUUGAGUUCAAGUGGACCCAGAAAUGUCAAGAGGCCUUUGAAGCGCUGAAAGAGAAGUUGACUACAGCGCCUGUCCUAGUCUUGCCUGAUGUGCACAAGCCCUUCUCGGUGUAUUGUGAUGCUUGUUACACAGGUUUGGGAUGCGUGUUGAUGCAAGAGGGAAGAGUUGUGGCUUACUCGUCCCGACAGUUGAAGGUUCAUGAGAAGAAUUACCCAAUCCAUGAUCUAGAGUUGGCAGCAGUGGUCCACGCACUGAAGUCAUGGAGGCACUAUCUGUAUGGACAGAAAUGCGAUGUUUACACAGAUCACAAGAGUCUGAAGUACAUAUUCACUCAGUCAGAGUUGAACAUGAGGCAACGAAGAUGGUUAGAGUUGAUCAAAGACUAUGAGUUGGAGAUCCAUUACCAUCCAGGCAAAGCAAACAUAGUGGCAGAUGCUUUGAGCAGAAAGAGUCAAGUCAAUCUGAUGGUUGCUCGUCCGAUGCCUUAUGAGUUGGCCAAGGAGUUUGACAGGUUGAGUCUCGGAUUUCUGAACAAUUCGCGAGGAGUCACAGUUGAGUUGGAACCUACCUUGGAGCGCGAAAUCAAAGAAGCGCAGAAGAAUGAUGAGAAGAUCAGUGAGAUUCGGCGACUGAUUCUAGAUGGCAAAGGCAAAGAUUUUCGAGAAGAUGCAGAAGGCGUGAUAUGGUUCAAAGACCGCUUGUGUGUUCCCAAUGUCCAGUCUAUUCGGGAGUUGAUUCUCAAGGAGGCUCAUGAGACAGCCUAUUCGAUUCACCCUGGCAGUGAGAAGAUGUAUCAAGAUCUGAAGAAGAAAUUCUGGUGGUACGGAAUGAAGAGGGAAAUCGCAGAGCAUGUGGCUAUGUGCGAUAGUUGUCGAAGAAUUAAGGCAGAGCACCAGAGACCUGCUGGAUUGUUGCAACCGUUGCAGAUCCCUCAGUGGAAAUGGGAUGAAAUUGGUAUGGAUUUCAUAGUCGGAUUGCCUCGCACUCGAGCCGGCUACGAUUCCAUUUGGGUAGUAGUGGACCGUUUGACCAAGUCAGCCCACUUCAUACCUGUCAAGACCAACUAUAGCAGUGCCGUAUUGGCAGAAUUGUAUAUGUCUCGGAUCGUUUGUCUUCAUGGUGUGCCAAAGAAGAUAGUGUCAGACAGAGGAACGCAGUUCACCUCUCAUUUCUGGCAGCAGUUGCAUGAAGCCUUGGGCACGCAUCUGAAUUUCAGUUCAGCUUAUCAUCCGCAGACGGAUGGUCAGACCGAAAGGACCAAUCAAAUUCUUGAAGACAUGUUGAGAGCUUGUGCGUUGCAAGAUCAGUCCGGAUGGGAUAAGAGAUUGCCUUAUGCAGAGUUUUCCUAUAACAACAGUUACCAGGCCAAUUUGAAGAUGUCACCAUUUCAGGCGCUCUAUGGAAGGAGUUGCAGAACUCCGUUGCAAUGGGAUCAGCCUGGAGAGAAGCAAGUGUUUGGGCCAGACAUUUUGCUUGAAGCCGAAGAGAACAUCAAGAUGGUUCGAGAGAAUCUGAAGAUAGCGCAAUCGAGGCAGCGAAGCUAUGCAGACACAAGAAGAAGAGAGCUGAGUUUCGAAGUCGGAGACUUUGUUUACCUGAAAGUGUCACCGAUUAGAGGAGUCAGAAGGUUCGGAGUGAAAGGCAAACUAGCACCCCGCUACAUUGGUCCGUAUCAAAUUCUUGCAAGACGUGGAGAAGUGGCCUAUCAGCUCAGUUUGCCCGAGAUUUUGUCUGCUGUGCAUGAUGUCUUUCAUGUGUCUCAGUUGAGGAAGUGCUUGCGUGUGCCAGAAGAGCAGUUGCCAGUGGAAGGUCUUGAAGUCCAGGAGGACUUGACCUACGUUGAGAAGCCAGUGCAAAUCCUUGAGGUUGCAGACAGAGUCACCCGAAGGAAGACCAUCAGAAUGUGCAAAGUCAAAUGGAAUCAUCACUCUGAGGAAGAAGCAACCUGGGAGCGUGAAGAUGAUCUGAUGGCUAAAUACCCCGAGCUCUUUGCUAGCCAACCCUGAAUCUCGAGGGCGAGAUUCUUUUAAGGGGGAUAGGUUUGUAACGCCCUGAAUUUGGGGGUAGAAUUUUUUCUUCUUUUCUCUCACCAAAUUCGGGCGUUACACUCUUUUCUCUUUCCCCGUUUGCUCCUUCUUCCCAAUUUCAAACCAGUAUAGCGGCAGGUGUCCGUGUCAUGUAUAAACCAAAACCUAAGUGUCAUGGGUGUUGCAUCAUGCCGAAGCACAUUUCUUUGUCUGAUGUUGUGUGUUCGUCUCGUUCUGUUCCGGAUUUCGGUUCGCGAUUUAAGUCCGUUUUGUGGUCGCGCUCGUCGUGGGUUUUCGAUCCGCGAAGUGGCCCGGCCCAGCCCAGCUCAGCCGGCCCGGCCCGCCCCUGGCGCCCAACCCCCCCCCAUGCGCCCCCCUCCUCUCCCUCUCUCUCAUUUGGAUCUCCCGCGCAACAACCUCUCCUCUCCCUCUUCCACCUCUCUCUCCCCGUGGUGCCCUAGGGUUUGGAGACGGCGAUCACCGGAUUUUGGACCCCGAGGUGAGCUCCCCUCCCCUUCUCUUCUCUCUCUCCCUCUCCCUCCUCUUCUUCCCCACGCGCGCGCCCUCCCUCUCCCCCUCCCUCCCCGGCGGCGCUCGGCCCCGCCCCACCCUCCCCGCGGCGGCGCUCGGCCUCCCCGCUCGGCCCUCCCCGCUCGGCCUCCCUCGCGGCGGCGCUCGGCCCCGCCCGGCGGCGCCCGCCCCGCCCCUCGGCCCGGCCGGCCAUGGUGGCUCGGCGCCCUCCCGCGGCGCGGCGAGCCCCGCUCGCCCGCGCGCCCCCGCCCCCGGCUCGGCGGCCCCCGGCCGGUUCAACCGCCCCCCUGGCCGGUUCAACCGCCCCGGCCCCGGCUCGGUCGCCCGUUCCCCCGUCCCGGCCUCGCCCGACCGUAUCUUCGCUCGCCCGCGCUCGCGGUGAUUAUUCGUUAAUUAGCGUGUUGCGUCGCGCGCUUCGCCGCAUGACGGAUUUGUCUAAAUUCAGAUUCUAUCUUGUGUUGCGUCGUGCGCUUCGUCGCGCGACGAUCCAUUUUUUGUUUCAGGUUGUUUAAGGUGUAACGCCGCGUGUGUAUUCACGCGACGUUCCACUUUGGACUCAGUUUAGUCGACGUAUGUCGUCGUGCGCUUCGUCGCGCGACACUUAACGUCUCCUCGUAACUAAGGCGAAGUGUCUCGUUGCGUGCUCGGCCGAGCGACGAGUCGUUAACUUCUUAAUUUGUUUUAGAGAGCUUUGUCGCGCGUCUCGCCGCGCGACCAUCCUUUUAUUUAUCUCCACCUGCUUAUAAUAAUUAGACAUGAAACAUGACUUUACUUUACGCUAAACAUAGUGUCUACAUUAAAUUUCCUUCCAUUAAGCGAGUGGUUAAUUUAUAAUCAUGUAACGUGAUCGUUUCUCGACUGUCUUUUCCUCUUUCUCUCUUAACCGUACUCGCGAGCCCGCGUGGAACGUCUGUUUACUUAUUGCAUUCUAUUGUAUGGUGUACUGUUCUUUUGUAUUAAAUGUGUGGAUGUAUGUAUGUUUGCAAUCGCAUAGAGAACGAUCCGGUUGAAGAGCCCGAGGAACUCGCAGGAGAAGCCCCUGAGCAGCAGUCGGUUGGUGGAGGCAAGUGUCCCUUGACCUAUCUAUGUCCUAUUCAUUAUUUAAUUCACCUCCCGCUUUACACAUUUAUGCCUAAGGAUUGACUAGCUUUUGUUAUCCAUGUCCUUGUUUACCUAUCUGGGUUGGAUUAUUACUGUUUAGCUUUAUGCUAUUGCUUAACUCUAAUCAAUGAACAUGAUGAGAUUAUCUAUGAUACGCUGUUUUCCCUUAUCUUAUUAUGAUGUUGUACUUGUGGCCUCAAGGGGGCUCGAGCGGUUUCUCGAGUGCCUCUCCGUAAGGACCUGUUCUAUGGAUGACCGCCCGAGAAAACAGUGCAACCAUGAGGGUGGAAUGAGAUGCCCUUAGCUGAAUAAUUAGAGGAUCCGGGGUGUAGUUCACUUAGCCGUCGUGCCGUCAAUGGGGCUCGGUGUAUGCGGCUCGCUCUGCCAAGGUUGAUUUGUCCCUUGGGGAGGAGUGCAGUACAUUUAGGAAACCUAACGGGUGGCUACAGCCCCGGGGAAUCUUUGUAAAGGCUACGUAGUGAUGCCCUGCUGGGUCACCUUGGUAGUGAUCAAUGGAGAGUCAUGAUCUCCGGGCAGAAUGGGAAUCACGGCUUGUGGGUAAAGUGCACAACCUCUGCAGAGUGUUUGAAAACUGAUAUAUCAGCCGUGCUCGCGGUUAUGAGCGGCCAAGGGAGCUCCAGUGAUUAGUGGUACUUGAUCAGAGAUACUUUGGUACAGGUGGUUAUGAGAUUGAUGGUUUUGGUUAUGACUAUGGUGCUGGUAAGUGGUAUUCUUUCCGUUUGGAAAGGGUACAUCGGGUUAAUAACUUGGGUUAAUGCUAAAACUUGGCUUUCUACUAGUAAAUAAUAAUCUGACCAACUAAAAGCAACUGCUUGACUUAUCCCCACAUAAAGCUAGUCCACUACAGCCAAACAUGAUACUUGCUGAGUAUGUUGAUGUGUACUCACCCUUGCUCUACACACCAAACCCCCCCAGGUUGUCAGCAUUGCAACCACUGCUCAGGCGAAGAUGAAGCUGUGGAAGGAGACUUCCAGGAGUUCCAAGACUACGACGAGUUCUAGGUGUGGGUUAGCGGCAACCCCCAGUCGGCUGCCUGUGAAGGCCGCGGUUAUCUACGUUUCUUUUCCGCACUUUGAUUUAUUGUAAGAACUAUAUGGACGUCUCAGACGUACGAUGUAAUCGACUAUUAUUUCCCUUUUAAUACUAUUUUGAGCACUGUGUGAUGAUGUCCAUGUUAUGUAACUGCUGUGUACGUGAAUAACUGAUCCUGGCACGUACAUGGUUCGCAUUCGGUUUGCCUUCUAAAACCGGGUGUGACAGUUGCCUGCGGAUUGUCUGUGCGUGGAGCACCGGGCCGUCCAGUGCACCAGGGAACCACAACCCAAUGGAUAGUUCCAGGUGGCACCCGGAGAGAAGACCACCAGACUGUCUGGUGUGAGGACCAGACUGUCCGGUGUGGAAAGCCUGCGGCGCCAACGGUCACCUGCUCUGACAGGGCAACGACUAGACGCACCGGACAGGCUACAGUGCGCUGUCCGGUGCACCACCAGACUAUCUGGUUCACCACCGGACUGUCUGGUGUGCCGCAGAAAGCAGCAGCUUUUCUCCAACGGCUCUAUUUGUGUUGGGGGCUAUAAAUACACCCCCAACCGGCCAUUUCCAAGUGUGGGAGCCCAAGAUACAUACCAAGGCAUAUAGUAGACAUUCCCAAGUGCUCUUACACCCAAGUGCUUAAUAGAAUCACUCGGUGAUUAGCGUAGGUGCUUUGCGAAGUGCUUAGGUUAGUUAGACUGCUUUAGCGCUUGCUCUAGGUGAACCCUAGAUUGUUGAGUAAGUUUAGAUAAACCUCACAACCCCUCGGCUCUUUCGUGAGCCGUUGUAAUUGUACCGAGUAGGGCGAGUGUCUUGCGAGACCGUGACAACCGCGUUUGUGUCACAGCCGCCACCGUGUACCGGAGGGAACGAGGCCCGCGGCGUUUCAGCUGGAAGCUCGAUAGUGGAGACAGCGGGGAGCGUCCGAGAGGAGCCGGAAGCGGAGCACCACUUGCGCGUGGAGAAGGCCCACGACUCUCUAUGGAGUUACUCGACCGAGGUGCUUGGCCCUCGCGUGGGCUUCCCUUUGUGUAGGGGCACCAACGAGGAUUAGUCGGGACCUUGCGCGGUUCCGGAUACCUCGGUAAAAAUACCGGCGUCAUCCACAAGAGUUUGCUUCUCUACUUUGCUCUUUAAGUUUCCGCAUUUAUAUUAAGCAUUUAAGUUUCAAUCUUGUAUUCAUACUUACUUAGUGUAGAUUGAAACUUAGCCAUUGCGGUAGAGAUAGCAACACUUAGACAAAACCUAGUUUGCACAUUCUAGUUUGAUUAUUUGCAUAGGUUUUGCUCUAGGGAUUUAAUUGUGGCCUAGUUUAGCGAAAGUUUUAGAAGUCCUAAUUCACCCCCCUCUUAGGCGUCACUCGUUUCCUACAAGUGGUAUUAGAGCCUGGUUUGGCUCAUUUGAAAUGCUUUAGCUUCACCACUAAAAGAGCCGACACUUUUUAGAGGAAGGGAUGGAUACCCAUAGGCCACCACACUUUGACGGCACUAACUUCCCAUAUUAUAGUGCUAGAAUGGCUUGUUACCUAGAGGCUAUUGAUCUAGGUGUUUGGAGAGUCACUCGUGAUGGAUGAAACCUCCCAAGAAUUUUGAGAAACCCACCACGAGUGAGGAAAAAGAAAUUCAUUUAAAUGCUAGAGCCAAAAAUUGCUUGUAUGAAUCUCUUAGCAUGGAUAUUUUUAAUCAAGUAUUUACCUUGAAAACUGCUAAUGAGAUUUGUCUUAAGUUGCAUGAGCUCCAUGACGGCACAUCAAAUGUCCGUGAGCAAAAACAUUGCCUAGUCUUAAAUGAGUAUAAUUAUUUUGCUAUGAAAGAUGAUGAGCUUGUUAGAGACAUGUAUUCUCGUUUGAAUCUAAUUAUCAAUGAGCUCAAUUCUAUUAGCAUUAAUAAGCUAGGUGAUGCGGACAUUGUGAGGAAGAUUAUCUCCCUGCUACCACAACGAAGAUAUGGGAGCAUCAUCACCAUCCUUCACAACAUGGAGGACUUGAGUAAUAUGACCCCGACCACUGUGAUUGGGAAAAUCGCAGCUUUUGAGAUGUCACGAAAAAUGUGUCGGGGAGAGGAGCCAACUUCCUCAAGGCCAUAUGAUUUUGCAUGUGAAGAAAGGAAGGGCAAAAAGAAGGUUCCCACUCCAAGUUCCUCAAGUGAAGAAGAGGAAUAAGAAGAAAGUGAUGAUGAUGAAGAUAAUCAACCAUGCACAUCAUCCUCCGAGGACAAAGAAACAAUCCGACACGUCGGAAAGGUAAUGGGGAUGAUCCGCAAGAUUAAUCUAAUGGGCGUGCCCCUGCAGGUUGAAGAUCUUCUCUUUAACAUUGACAGGAAAAAGCAAAGAAAGAUAGGAUGCUUCGCAUGCGGGGAGAAGGGCCACUUCAGGGACAACUGUCCAACUAUGGCCGAACCCAAAAAGGAGAAGAGCAAAGGCAAGGUGCUAACAAGUGUCAGAACUUGGGAUGAUUCUUCAAGUGAUGAUGAACCUCCAAGGACGCGCAGCCACCGAUCCUCAUCACGCUCAUCAUGGUCAUCACACAAAUGCCUUAUGGCAAGAGGUAAAUUGAGCAUUCCAUCCUCUAGUGAUGAUAGUAGUAGUGAUGAUGAUGGUGAGGGAAAGCCCUCCGUAGAUGAACUUGCGGAAGCCGUUAAAUUUUUCCAGGAUGUUUGCACUAAGCAAAAAGCUCAACUUAAAACUUUGAAAAAUAAAUUGAUUAGCUCCCAAAAUGAUUAUAAAGGUUUGCUAGAAAAAUUUGAAACUUUUGCAAACUUAAAUUGUGAGCUGUCAACUAAAAUUGAGCUAUUAGAGUCUAAUGCUCCAUCCACUGCUACUGAUGAUGGUCUUAUUAAAAAGAAUGAAAAACUUAAGGCUAAGUUAGCUAGCUCCCAAGAAGCUAUUGAAAAUUUUCUAGAGAAAAUGGAAAUUCUCAGCAUACACAAUAAUGAGCUAACUACCAAGCUAGAAAACAUUAGUAGCACCCCAGCAGCAUCUUUAGUUAAAAUUCCUGAAAUUAAAAAGGAUGCUUAUACUUCUUGCUUUGAUUUAAUUGAUGAUUCUAACUCCUGCAACCAAGUUCUUGUUGAGAAUAUUGUUGUAGAAACAUGUUCGGAUGAGGUUGCAAAGGAAAAUGAGCAAUUAAGGCAAGAAGUGGCUCGUCUUGGCAAGGCUUGGUAUGACAAGAAAGGCAAAGCCAAACAAAUCCGACCUCCACAGGAUAACACCACUGCGGGAGUGAACAAGCCUAUGGAGGGAGAAACUGUGAUUUGUAGGCUAUGCCACAUGGAAGGCCAUAAGUCUUUCCAAUGCAAGGCGAUGACCGUUGACAAGCAAAGGCAUAAACACAAGCAAAAACCAUCAAGCAAAAUCUCCAACACUUACAUCAAAAAGGUGGACAAAAAGACUGCUACACCAUAUUUGAUCAAGAAGAAAAAGAAUGGAAAGGUGAUAGCAAACAAGGCCAACAAUUAAGCCAACAAAGGAAAAGGGACCAAACGCAUCUGGGUGCCAAAGGAAAUAAUUACGACCAUGAAAAGCACCAAGAAGGUUUGGGUCCCGAAAGGGAAGUGAGUGGACCGAAGGUCGACGGGAAAUUUGGAGACUUGGAAAAUUAGGGAUGUAUAUCAUGGGAUACAUCAUAUUGGACCAAGUUUUUUUGCCAAGUGGGUUAGUAAAUAUUUUGGACCCAAAUUUCCCCACCCAUGACUAAGGUAACUAGAUUUAUUGUAUUUCUUGUUUUUAGAUAUGCGUAUUUAUUUACCUUGUAUCUAGUUUACCUUUCAUGCCUAGUAUUACUUUUGGUAUUUACUUUUAUUUAAAUGUAUGCAUACUAGGUAAAUCACAUGGUAGGUGUCGGGGACCAUAAUUAGGGGUACCCUCAAGACGCCUAAUUCUCAGCUGGUAACCCCCAUCAGCAUAAAGCUGCAGAGGCCUGAUGGGUGCGAUUAAGUCAGGGAUCAGUCCGUACGAGCGACUCGAUCACGCCUCGCCCGAGCCUAGCCUCGGGCAAGGGCAGCCGACCCCUAGGGAUCUCCGUCUCGCCCGAGGCCCCCCUUUAACGGCGGACACAUCCCCGGCUCGCCCGAGGCCUUGCCUUCGCUAAGAAGCAAUCCUGACUAAAUCGCCGCACCGACCGACCAAGUCGCAGGAGCAUUUAACGCAAAGGUGGCCUGACACCAUUAUUCUGACGCGCGCCCCCCGGCAGAGCCGAAGUGACCGCCGUCACUUCACCGCUCCACUGACCGGUCUGACAAAAGGACAGCGCCGCCUGCGCCACUCCGACUGCAGUGCCACUUGACAGAGUGAGACUGACAGGCAGUCAGGCCCUGCCAAAGGCGCCAUAGGAAACUCCGCUCCGCCCGACCCAGGGCUCGGACUCGGGCUAAGCCCCGGAAGACGGCGAUCUCCGCUCCGCCUGACCCAGGGCUCGGACUCGGGCUAAGACCCAGAAGACGGCGAACUCCGCUCUGCCCGACCCAGGGCUCGGACUCAGGCUAAGACCCGGAAGACGGCGAACUCCGCUCCGCCCGACCCAGGGCUCGGACUCGGGCUAAGACCCGGAAGACGGCGAACUCCGCUCCGUCCGACCCAGGGCUCGGACUCGGGCUAAGACCCAGAAGACGGUGAACUCCGCUCCGUCCGGCCUAGGGCUCGGACUCAGGCUCAGCCCCAGAAGACGGCGAACUCCGCUUCGCCCGACCCAGGGCUCGGACUCCGCCCUGGCCUCUACCGAACUACCUCCGCCUCGCCCGACCCAGGGGCUCGGGCUCGGCCUCGGCAACGGAAGACAGACUCGACCCCAGCUUCGGAGGAGCCCCCACGUCGCCCGGCCUCGGGCGCGGGCCCGCCACGUCAACAGGGAGCGCCAUCAUCACCCUACCCCAAGCCGACUCGGGCCGCAGAGAACAAGACCGGUGUCCCAUCUGGCUAGCUCCGCCAUAUAGGCAAUGAUGGCGCCCCGCGUGCCCUGUGACGACGGCGGCUCUCAGCUCCCUUACGGAAGCAGGGGGACGUCAGCAAGGACUCGACCGCUCCGACAGCUGUCCCUCCGCCAAGCUCCGUUGCUCCUCCGACAGCCACGACAUCACACCAGCAGGGUGCCAAGAUCUCUCCAGCUGCCACAUUGGCAUGUACUUAGGGCGCUAGCUCUCCCUCCGCUAGACACGUAGCACUCUGCUACACCCCCAUUGUACACCUGGAUCCUCUCCUUACGACUAUAAAAGGAAGGACCAGGGCCUUCUUAGAGAAGGUGGGCCGCGCGGGAACGAGGACAGGACAGGCGCUCUCCUGGGGCCGCUCGCUUCCCUCACCCGCGUGGACGCUUGUAACCCCCUACUGCAAGCGCACCCGACCUGGACGCGGGACAAACACGAAGGCCGCGGGAUUUCCACCUCUCUCACGCCCGUCUCCGGCCACCUCGCCUUCCCCCCUUCGCGCUCGCCCACGCGCUCGACCCAUCUGGGCUGGGGCACGCGGCACACUCACUCGUCGGCUUAGGGACCCCCCGGUCUCGAAACGCCGAAAGUUGGCGCGCCAGGUAGGGGCCUGCUGCGUGCUGACGAACAGCUUCCCGUCAAGCUCCAGAUGGGCAGCCUCCAGCAACCUCUCCGGCCCGGGACGGUGCUCCGUUUUGGGAGUCUUGAGUUCAUGUCCUUCGACGGCAGCUACAACAUGAUACUCCUUCCACCGCCACGCGACAACGACAAUGGCGGCCGACAACCCGCCCGCCGGCGGUGGAAUCGACGACAUCUUCCCCGCAUGGUGGAAGAACAACAUUCGAGCUCGCCCUGUCCUCUCCCCCGCCAACGGAGGAGGAGGCGGGGCAACCAAGGCCAAGCGGGAGGCCGCGCUUCGUCGGCUGUCAAGCAAAUCGACGUCCCCAGCGUCCCAACGGAGGGCACGCCGGGCGUCGACCUCGCAUUCGAGACGAAGGCGAGCGCCGUCCUCCCGCGACACGCCAAUCCUGAGCAAGUGGACGACGCCAGCGCACUCGCGGAGAGCUUGCAGGACGUCGCCCUUGUACCUGAGACGACGGUGCAACCAGUCCCCAAUGUGACUAUGUCGCUCCUCGUCGACCAAAAGGUACCACCUAAUUCCCAUCUUACAUCAUUUCGACUCGGCCUCAACCCGCCUAGCGACCUUGCUUUGGCGGGCGCUCUCGUUGAGGCGAGUGCAACCCCACUGGGGUUUCGUAUGCGGUCGCCUUGGGACCGGUUGACGGACGUCUCGACCUACGGGCCCUCUGGGUCCGAGGAAGACGACGAUCCCAGCAUCUAUUGGGAUUUCUCCGGAUUUGGCAACCCCAGUGCCAUGCGGGACUUCAUGACCGCAUGUGACUACUGCCUCUCUGACUGUUCCGACGGUAGCCGCAGCCUUGACGACGAGGACUGCGGCCCAAGCCGCGAAUGUUUCCACGUCGAGCUAGGGGAUCCCUCCGAAGGCAACCAUCUUGGCAUGCCGGAGGACGGUGAUCUCCCUAGGCCGGUGCCUCGCGCCGACAUCCCGCGGGAGCUAGCUGUGGUCCCCGUUCCGGCGGGGGGUCACGACCCACAGCUCGAGCAAGUCCGCGGGGCGCAGGCCAGGCUCGACGAGGGAGCAGGAGCGCUUGAGACGAUCCGCCGGGACGUCAGGCAGGUAUGGGCGGGCCAACCCCCGGCCGGAGAAAUACGUCACCUGCCCCAAGGUUUCCAGCACCGCGUCGCCAACGACGUCAGGGUCAGGCUGCCACUCGCAUCCAGCGGGGUCGGUCAGAACCUGGCAGCUGCAGCGAUGCUCCUCCGCGCGAUGCCGGAGCCAUCAACCACCGAGGGUCGGCGAAUCCAGGGAGAGCUCAAGAAUCUCCUGGAAGGCGCUGCGGCCCGACGGGCCGAGAGCACUGCCUCCCGAAGGCAGGGAUACCCCUCGGAACCUCAUGCCGCGACUUCCCGAUUCAUGCGGGAAGCCUCGGUCUACACCGGGCGCACGCGCAACACCGCGCCUGCGGCCCCAGGCCACCUCGGCAACGAGCACCAUCGACGCGACCGUCGGGCCCACCUCGACGAAAGGGUGCGCCGAGGCUACCACCCCAGGCGUGGGGGACGCUAUGACAGUGGGGAGGAUCGGAGUCCCUCGCCCGAACCACCCGGUCCGCAGGCCUUCAGUCGGGCCAUCCGACGGGCGCCGUUCCUGACCCGGUUCCGACCCCCAACUACUAUCGCCAAGUACUCGGGGGAAACGAGACCGGAACUGUGGCUCGCAGACUACCGCCUGGCCUGUCAACUGGGUGGAACGGACGACGACAACCUCAUCAUCCGCAACCUCCCCCUGUUCCUCUCCGACACUGCUCGCGCCUGGUUGGAGCAUCUGCCUCUGGGGCAGAUCUCCAACUGGGAUGACUUGGUCCAAGCCUUCGCCGGCAAUUUCCAGGGCACGUACGUGCGCCCCGGGAAUUCCUGGGACCUCCGGAGCUGCCGGCAACAGCCGGGAGAGUCUCUCCGGGACUACAUCCGGCAAUUCUCGAAGCAGCGCACCGAGCUGCCGAACAUCACUGACUCGGAUGUCAUCGGCGCAUUCCUUGCCGGCACCACCUGCCGUGACGUGGUGAGUAAGUUGGGUCGCAAGACCCCCACCAGGGCGAGCGAGCUGAUGGACAUCGCCACCAAGUUCGCCUCUGGCCAGGAGGUGGUCGAAGCUAUCUUCCGAAAGGACAAGCAGCCCCAGGGCCGCCCAUCGAAAGAGGCUCCCGAGGCGUCUACCCCGCGCGGCGCCAAGAAGAAAGGCAAGAAGAAGUCGCAAUCGAAACGCGACGCCGCCGACGCGGACCUUGUCGCCGCCGCCGAGUACAAGAACCCUCGGAAGCCCCCCCGGAGGUGCUAACCUCUUCGACAAGAUGCUCAAGGAGCCGUGCCCCUAUCAUCAGGGGCCCGUCAAGCACACCCUCGAGGAGUGCGUCAUGCUUCGGCGCCACUUCCACAGGGCCGGGCCACCCGCGGAGGGUGGCAGGGCCCGCGACGACGACAAGAAGGAAGAUCACCAAGCGGGAGAGUACCCCAAGGUCCGCGACUGCUUUAUGAUCUACGGUGGGCAUGUGGCGAAUGCCUCGGCCCGGCAUCGCAAGCAAGAGCCCCGAGAGGUCUGCUCGGUGAAGGUGGCGGCGCCAGUCUACCUAGACUGGUCCGACAAGCCCAUCACCUUCGACCAAGCUGACCAUCCCGACCACGUGCCGAGCCCGGGGAAAUACCCGCUCGUCGUCGACCCCAUCGUCGGCGACGUCAGGCUCACCAAGGUCCUGAUGGACGAGGGCAGCUGCCUCAACAUCAUCUACGCCGAGACCCUCAGGCUCCUGCGCGUCGAUCUGUCCUCCGUCCGAGCAGGCGCUGCGCCCUUCCACGGGAUCAUCCCUGGGAAGCGCGUCUAGCCCCUCGGACGACUCGACCUUCCCGUCUGCUUCGGAACGCCCUCCAACUUCCGAAGGGAGACCUUGACGUUCGAGGUGGUCGGGUUCCGAGGAACCUACCACGCGGUACUGGGGAGGCCAUGCUACGCGAAGUUCAUGGCCGUCCCCAACUACACCUACCUGAAGCUCAAGAUGCCAGGCCCCAACGGGGUCAUCACCGUCGGCCCCAUGUACAAACACGCGUUCGAAUGCGACGUGGAGUGCGUGGAGUACUCCGAGGCCCUCGCCGAGUCCGAGGCCCUCAUCGCCGACCUGGAGAACCUCUCCAAAGAGGUGCCAGACGUGAAGCAUCAUGCCGGCAACUUCGAGCCAGCGGAAACAGUUAAGGCCGUCCCUCUCGACCCCAGUGGCGACACCUCCAAGCAGAUCCGGAUCGGUUCCGGGCUCGACCCCAAAUAGGAAGCAGUGCUCGUCGACUUUCUCCGCGCAAAUGCCGACGUCUUUGCAUGGAGUCCCUCGGACAUGCCCGGCAUACCGAGGGAUGUCGCCGAGCACUCGCUGGAUAUUCGGGCCGGAGCCCGACCCGUCAGGCAGCCUCUGCGCCAAUUCGACGAGGAGAAGCGCAGAGUGAUAGGCGAGGAGAUCCACAAGCUAAUGGCAGCAGGGUUCAUCAAAGAGGUAUUCCAUCCCGAAUGGCUUGCCAACCCUGUGCUUGUGAGGAAGAAAGGGGGGAAAUGGCGGAUGUGUGUAGACUACACUGGUCUCAACAAAGCAUGUCCGAAGGUUCCCUACCCUCUACCUCGCAUCGAUCAAAUCGUGGAUUCCACUGCUGGGUGUGAAACCCUGUCCUUCCUCGAUGCCUACUCAGGGUAUCACCAAAUCCGGAUGAAAGAGUCUGACUAGCUCGCGACUUCUUUCAUCACGCCCUUCGGCAUGUACUGCUACGUCACCAUGCCGUUCGGCUUGAGGAAUGCGGGCGCGACGUACCAGCGGUGCAUGAACCAUGUGUUCGGCGAACACAUCGGUCGCACGGUCGAGGCCUACGUCGAUGACAUCGUAGUCAAGACAAGGAAGGCUUCCGACCUCCUCUCCGACCUUGAAGUGACAUUCCGAUGUCUCAAAGCGAAGGGCGUCAAGCUCAAUCCCGAGAAGUGUGUCUUCGGGGUGCCCCGGGGCAUGCUCUUGGGGUUCAUCGUCUCCGAGCGAGGCAUCGAAGCCAACCCGCAGAAGAUCGCAGCUAUCACCAGCAUGGGGCCCAUCAAGGACUUAAAAGGCGUACAGAGGGUCAUGGGAUGUCUCGCGGCCCUGAGUCGCUUCAUCUCACGCCUCGGCGAAAGAGGUCUGCCUCUGUACCGCCUCUUGAGGAAGGCCGAGUGUUUCGCUUGGACCCCUGAGGCCGAGGAAGCUCUCGGGAACCUGAAGGCGCUCCUUACAAAGGCGCCUAUCUUGGUGCCCCCAGCUGAUGGAGAAGCCCUCUUGAUCUACGUCGCCGCGACCACUCAGGUGGUUAGCGCCGCGAUUGUGGUCGAGAGGCAAGAAGAAGGGCAUGCAUUGCCCGUUCAGAGGCCAGUCUACUUCGUCAGCGAGGUACUGUUCGAGACCAAGAUCCGCUACCCACAAGUUCAGAAGCUGCUGUAUGCAGUGAUCCUGACGAGGCGAAAGUUGCGACAUUACUUCGAGUCUCAUCCGGUAACUGUGGUGUCAUCCUUCCCCCUGGGGGAGAUCAUCCAGUGCCGAGAGGCCUCGGGCAGGAUCGCAAAGUGGGCGGUGGAAAUCAUGGGCGAAACGAUCUCGUUCGCCCCUCGGAAGGCCAUCAGGUCCCAGGUGUUGGCGGACUUCGUAGCCGAAUGGGUCGACACCCAGCUGCCGACGGCUCCGAUCCAACCGGAGCUCUGGACCAUGUUUUUCGACGGGUCGCUGAUGAAGACGGGAGCCGGCGCGGGCCUGCUCUUCAUCUCGCCCCUCGGGAAGCACCUAUGCUACGUGCUACGCCUCCAUUUCCCGGCGUCCAACGAUGUGGCUGAGUACGAGGCUCUGGUCAACGGGUUGCGGAUCGCCAUCGAGCUAGGGGUCAGACGCCUCGACGCCCGCGGUGACUCGCAGCUCGUCAUCGACCAAGUCAUGAAGAACUCCCACUGCCGCGACCCGAAGAUGGAGGCCUACUGCGAUGAGGUUCGGCGUCUGGAAGACAAGUUCUACGGGCUCGAGCUCAACCACAUCGCUCGGCGCUACAACGAGACUGCGGACGAGCUGGCUAAAAUAGCCUCGGGGCGAACAACGGUUCCCCCGGACGUCUUCUCCCGGGACCUGCAUCAACCCUCCGUCAAGAUCGACGACACGCCCGAGCCCGAGGCACCCUCGGCACAGCCCGAGGCACCCUCGGCUCAGCCCGAGGUACCCUCGGCCCCCGAGGGCGAGGCACUGGACGUCGAGGAAGAGAAGGGCGGGGCCACGCCUAAUCGAAAUUGGCAGGCCCCGUACCUGCAAUAUCUCCGCCAAGGAGAGCUACCCCUCGACCAAGCCGAGGCUCGGCGGGUAGCGCGACGCGCCAAGUCGUUUGUCUUGCUGGGCGAUGAGGAGGAGCUCUACCACCGCAGCCCCUCGGGCAUCCUCCAGCGAUGCAUCUCCAUCGCCGAAGGUCAGGAACUCCUGCAAGAAAUACACUCGAGGGCUUGCGGCCAUCAUGCAACACCUCGAGCACUUGUCGGGAAUGCUUUCCGGCAAGGCUUCUACUGGCCAACGGCGGUGGCUGACGCCACUAGAAUUGUCCGCACCUGCGAAGGGUGCCAAUUCUAUGCGAAGCAGACCCACCUGCCCACUCAGGCUCUGCAGACGAUACCCAUCACCUGGCCCUUUGCUGUAUGGGGUCUGGACCUCGUCGGUCCCUUGCAGAAGGCGCUCGGGGGCUACACGCACCUGUUGGUCGCCAUCGACAAAUUCUCCAAGUGGAUCGAGGUCCGACCCCUGAACAGCAUCAGGUCCGAGCAGGCGGUGGCGUUCUUCACCAACAUCAUCCAUCGCUUCGGGGUCCCAAACUCCAUCAUCACCGACAACGGUACCCAGUUCACCGGCAAAAAAUUCUUGGAUUUUUUCGAGGAUCACCACAUCCGGGUGGACUGGGCCGCCGUGGCUCAUCGCAUGUCAAAUGGGCAAGUAGAGCGUGCCAACGGCAUGAUUCUACAAGGGCUCAAGCCCCGGAUCUACAACGACCUCAACAAGUUCGGCAAGCGAUGGAUGAAGGAACUCCCCUUAGUGAUCUGGAGCCUGAGGACAACGCCAAGUCGAGCCACGGGUUUCACACCGUUCUUCCUGGUCUAUGGGGCCGAGGCCAUCUUGCCCACUGACCUGGAAUACGGCUCCCCGAGGACGAGGGCCUACAACGAUCAAAGCAACCAAGCUAGCCGAGAAGACUCACUGGACCAGCUGGAAGAGGCUCGGGACAAGGCCUUACUACACUCGGCGCGGUACCAGCAGUCCCUGCGACGCUACCACGCCCGAGGGGUCCGGUCCCGAGACCUCCAGGUGGGCGACCUGGUGCUUCGGCUGCGGCAAGACGCCCGAGGGAGGCACAAGCUCACGCCCCCCUGGGAGGGGCCAUUCGUCAUCGCCAAAGUUCUGAAGCCCGGAACAUACAAGCUGGCCAACAAUCAAGGCGAGGUCUACGGCAACGCUUGGAACAUCAAACAGCUACGUCGCUUCUACCCUUAAGAUGUUUUCAAGUUGUUCAUAUACCUCGCACCCACGCAAAGUUUAGUCAUCAAGGAAGGGUCGGCCUCGCCUCGGCAAAGCCCGACCCUCCCUCGGGGGCUAAAAGGGGGGGGGACCCCCUCUGCGUCGAAAUUUUCUCGAAAAAGAUCCCUUUUAGCAGAAUAUCUUUCGUGCUUUUUGACCACUUCGAAAAGCGGAUCCUGGAAACGACGGAGUACACGUAAGCAGCCAAGGCUGACCGAGCCGAGGGACUCCCAUGCCUCCGGGAUACGGAUACCUCACUCAUCACCUUCCGCGAGAAGCAACUCUCGCUCGCACAAACAUCCCUGUUGCCGACAAAAAGUCCAGAUGCUCGAAAUAAGAGGAAAGGAGACGCAGCUUUACAACACAGCGAGGGUGUGUUCUCUGGCCUCAGCGGCCGCAGAAGGCACACACUACAAGACAAUCUGAUCCUGCAGGCUUGGGUCUUCACGCUGGAAGGGGGCUAGCACCCUCGGCAUCGACGACACCUUCAGUGAGGUCUGACCCAGCCUCGGACGGCGACGCGGUCCGGGGACUCCUCCGGGAAUCCGGCCUGAGCAGGCGGCUCGGCCGGUCACCCCUGAGGCCUCGGCCAACCAUCCUCCAAGGGCACCAGCCCGACCCGAGGCCUCGGCUGGUCAACUUCGGCGUCGGUCCCGCUGACGGACAACCCGGCUAGGCUCCGGCCAACCAGGUUCCCAUUUUCGGGCCAACUCCGCCUCUGUUCGUACUGAUAUCGCUACCCCUGGCCUCGGCUCAUCGAAGAGCGGCCAAGGGGUCUCUUUAACUAAGCUAGAGGAGCCUCAGACAACAAGGCCGAUCGAGCCGAGGGACUCCUACGCCUCCGGGAUACGGAUACCUCACUCGUCACCUUGACACGAGGCGACUCAUGCUUGGUGAAGCGGUUCAGAUAAUCAACAUGCGAGAGUUAGUGCUCGAAAAUGAGGAAAAAACAUGGCUCCGUGCCGAAAUUACAUACAUGUUCAGGCCUCGACAGCCAUGAUGAACAAAAACACUGGCAUUCAAAGUGCCCUUACAAACGGAACUCCGGUUCCCCCUCCGCAGGUACGAACAACCCCACUCCAUGGGGGCGGGCCUGUGGAGCAACAGAAGACCGACGAACGGCGCGCCGUCACCUGCUCCAGCAGCGGCGACAACGACGACUUCUGCUCCGGGGGGCCGAACAGCGGCAACGCUGACCUCAGGGUGGAUGCUGCUGCCAGGAGGCCCCCGCCCAUGCCAAAACUCGUGAGGCAAGGAUGGGCAGAAGGCCGUAGAGUUGGAGGUCAGUCCGUGGCCGGCCCUGGCUAUCACGCCGGCGGAAGAACCUCUUCCGGCUGCCGUGGCAGACGCCGGCGCCGCGAGCGGCUCCGAAGCCACUUGCGCCCGAAAGCCGGGCACGCUGCAGCUGCCAGCGCCACGGACGACACCCGCUCCUCCCCCCAUCACUGAGUGAAGGAGCGGACCACCGCCCACGCAGGGGCCGACCCCAACUCGACGCACUCCCCUCCCCAGCCUUGGUGAUAAAAAUCCUUGAGGCUGAGGGAGGGGGAGGGGCCGCAGCCCGGCUCGCUUUCCCCCACCAUCAAGCCGAAGGUCACCAUCUUGGGUGACCGCCGGUGGAGGGGUGCGGCCGGGCUGCAUGAUGAAAAUCCUUGAAGCCGAACGAUGGCUGAAAGGUACCAACUCCCACGGAGUUGCGUUCCUUCAACGAUGGGGCGGAAAGACGGCGGGUACCCCCCAUCCGGGGGCUUGGAAGAUGGAAAGACACGACGCAUAAGGGAGGAAGAAGACAUGGUCGCCUUCCGAAAGGGGUCACCCUCCUUUUAAAGGCAACUCUCCCUACGUGCGCCCUCAAACGUCACGGGCUGAGUCUUCUCCAACACGCUCCAAGGCCCUCCCCUGCGGCGCGGGGGCUGGGACCCGCAUGUCAUGCAAACCAGCUCAGAGCAGAAGAAGCCAAAGCGCCGCGCGUGGUGCACACAACCGCCCAGCGGUUACAAGCGACCCCCCACUUUGGCCCAGACCAACGGGCGGAAGGGGCAGGCGGCCAUGCAGGCGGCAUGCAACCGCGCCAGGUGGACGCGCUUCUCCGACUCCCAACGCGUCAGCAUGGAGGCCCAGGCCCACGCGUCACGCAACCGGCGCGCCGGAUGCUGCAUGCAGGUAACUGCACCGCCACUUGCGCCACCACCGCGCCUCUUCGGUUGCGGAACCAAUACCGUGACUCGAGGCGGCCCAGCGCACGACCCAGCAGCGCCAGCCUGGCACGACGGUCAAUGCGGCCGAAAGUGGGCCGGCAGUAAUGACGGUGGCAGGCGGGCGGGAGCAGCGGUCACGUCGUCAGCCAGGCUCACGUCCCAUCCAGGGGCAGCAAGAGAGCCUCCUCUCACGGCGUGAAGACGGCGCGCCCGUGAUCCAUCCCUCGAACGGCUCGCGCACGUGCAACGGCCGCCCCGCCAACCACUCGCCCCGUCGCAUUAACUCCGCGGCGGGACAGGCGGCGCUUCUGGCAGGAGAAGCGGGCGACGCUUCACCUUCGCCGCAAUAACCGCGCCAAAAAAGGUACGCCACGUCGUUCGAUUUCGUAUCCUUUUCCUUUUUUCCUCUUUCUCUAUCUCUUGCAACAGGGACCGGGAAAAGGGGAUACCCCGAAAAGGAUCCUUCACUGUGAAGGAACCGGGCUCCGAGCCCCCCUACUGAUCAGAGGUUCGAAGGCUGGCCCUCCGAGGGGUUCAACAGUCGCCUCAGAUCGCGUGGGCCCUACACCCACUACUGGUCAGAGGUUCGAAGGCCGGCCCCCCGAAGGGCUCCACGGCCGCCUCAGGCUACUCGGGCUCCGCGCCCAUUACUGAUCAGGGGUUCGAAGGCUGGCCCCCGAAGGGUUCACAGUCGCCCCAGACGCCGAGCGAGGGAUGACCAGGGGUACGUUCGAUACAUAACCAAGGCUCGGGCUGCGCUCCCGAGGUACCCUAGGACAUUUCCGAGACCAGCGGGAGCGAUCUUGUAACGGAAUCCCAUCGGAGGGAGGCAUCGAGCCCUCGGACCCCGUCGCCAGGGGACCGGGUCCGGCAGAUCACCCACAAGUACUUUUGGGCGUGCCUCUAGGCCCCUAGCCGACCCCCAACGAACGGGGCACGGACGUCCACUCGUAUUACCCGCUUGCAGCUCACCGGAGACACCAUGUUCGGUGCCCAUCGAGGGUAACAUGGCGCACUCCCCCCUCCUCCUUGCGGAAAGGCGACAUAGGGGCAUAUGUAAAAAAGCCGAGUCUGUCCCUGAUCGCCCUCUCGCCCUGUGCGGAGGCUCGGGGGCUGCUCUCGCAAACCCGGCUCCGGCCGAACCGUUGACAACGUCAACAUACCAGCCCGAGAGCUUGGGCCCCGACCGUGCACCCGGGCUACGGCCAGUUCGCAUGAGGGAACAACCAGACCAGCCGAAGCAUUACGCAAGGCAUUAAGACCUCGAAGGAGUGAAACCACUCCUCCGAGGCCUCGGGGGCUACACCCGGCGGGUGCGCUCGCGCGCACCCACCGGAACAAAAUGCAACCGAGAAAGGCUGGUCCCCUUGCAAAAAAGUGCGACGAAAGCCUCUAAGCGAGUGUUAACACUCCCUUCGAGGCUCGGGGGCUACUGUCGGGGACCAUAAUUAGGGGUACCCUCAAGACGCCUAAUUCUCAGCUGGUAACCCCCAUCAGCAUAAAGCUGCAGAGGCCUGAUGGGUGCGAUUAAGUCAGGGAUCAGUCCGUACGAGCGACUCGAUCACGCCUCGCCCGAGCCUAGCCUCGGGCAAGGGCAGCCAACCCCUAGGGAUCUCCGUCUCGCCCGAGGCCCCCCUUUAACGGCGGACACAUCCCCGACUCGCCCGAGGCCUUGCCUUCGCUAAGAAGCAAUCCUGACUAAAUCGCCGCACCGACCGACCAAGUCGCAGGAGCAUUUAACGCAAAGGUGGCCUGACACCUUUAUCCUGACGCGCGCCCCCCUGGCAGAGCCGAAGUGACCGUCGUCACUUCACCGCUCCACUGACCGGUCUGACAGAAGGACAGCGCCGCCUGUGCCACUCCGACUGCAGUGCCACUUGACAGAGUGAGACUAACAGGCAGUCAGGCCCUGCCAAAGGCGCCAUAGGAAACUCCGCUCCGCCCGACCCAGGGCUCGGACUCGGGCUAAGCCCCGGAAGACGGCGAUCUCCGCUCCGCCCGACCCAGGGCUCGGACUCGAGCUAAGACCCGGAAGACGGCGAACUCCGCUCCGCCCGACCCAGGGCUCGGACUCGGGCUAAGACCCGGAAGACGGCGAACUCCGCUCCGCCCGACCCAAGGCUUGGACUCGGGCUAAGACCCGGAGGACGGCAAACUCCGCUCCGUCCGACCUAGGGCUCGGACUCGGGCUAAGACCCGGAAGACGGCGAACUCCGCUCCGUCCGGCCUAGGGCUCGGACACAGGCUCAGCCCCAGAAGACGGCGAACUCCGCUUCGCCCGACCCAGGGCUCGGACUCCGCCCUGGCCUCUACCGAACGACCUCCGCCUCGCCCGACCCAGGGGCUCGGGCUCGGCCUCGGCAACGGAAGACAGACUCGACCCCAGCUUCGGAGGAGCCCCCACGUCGCCCGGCCUCGGGCGCGGGCCCGCCACGUCAACAGGGAGCACCUUCAUCACCCUACCCCAAGCCGACUCGGGCCGCAGAGAACAAGACCGGUGUCCCAUCUGGCUAGCUCCGCCAGAUAGGCAAUGAUGGCGCCCCGCGUGCCCUGUGAUGACGGCGGCUCUCAGCUCCCUUACGGAAGCAGGGGGACGUCAGCAAGGACUCGACCGCUCCGACAGCUGUCCCUCCGCCAAACUCCGUUGCUCCUCCAACAGCCACGACAUCACACCAGCAGGGUGCCAAGAUCUCUCCGGCUGCCACAUUGGCAUGUACUUAGGGCGCUAGCUCUCCCUCCGCUAGACACGUAGCACUCUGCUACACCCCCAUUGUACACCUGGAUCCUCUCCUUACGACUAUAAAAGGAAGGACCAGGGCCUUCUUAGAGAAGGUGGGCCGCGCGGGAACGAGGACGGGACAGGCGCUUUCCUGGGGCCGCUCGCUUCCCUCACCCACGUGGACGCUUGUAACCCCCUACUGCAAGCGCACCCGACCUGGGCGCGGGACGAACACGAAGGCCGCAGGAUUUCCACCUCUCUCACGCCCGUCUCCGGCCACCUCGCCUUCCCCCCUUCGCGCUCGCCCACGCGCUCGACCCAUCUGGGCUGGGGCACGCGGCACACUCACUCGUCGGCUUAGGGACCCCUCGGUCUCGAAACGCCGACAGUAGGAUUGCUUGCUUUCAAUUCAUAUACUUAAGCAAACCUACAUGGCUUAAAAGGUUUAUUUAAGCACGACACAUAGCUUCUAUAUCACUCCAUAGUAAAUGAUGCAUAAUUGAUAUUGAUAAUAUUACAAGUGGUAAAACACUCACAUACUACAAUGUGUAUCAUGUAAUUUAUAUGUGCCAAAGUUCGGAUUAUAGAUAAAUCGCCCCUCCUGAUAUCAAAUGAAAGUGCAUGUCUCCUACAAGUAUUCAAAACUUGUAUGCACACUUUUAGGGGGAGGUUACUGUAUAAUCUAAUACUUUUAGACUAACAUCUUUUCAAGUUUAUUUUAUGAUGGUCUCAUUGUAAGGAAAAUGAAGUCCCCAGAGAAAGACAACAAUCUUCCACUACAAAAUCUCCAAGAACUCUCAUGUCUUUCAAGCUCGCCAUUGAAUUUCAAUCGAUAUCUUUUGAGACUACAUCCAGUAUAAUUUACAUGUCUUCUCCAAUAUUUGAUUAGACUAUAUUUCAUAUCAUAUACUUCCAUGUUGCUAAAAUGCAUAAGUGGUUAACUCAUAUUCUGUUACCUAUGCAUAAGGGAAGUUAGUCUUUUCAAAUCAUGUCUUGCACCUCUAAUUUUCACAUGCUUUUUCCUAAAAAUAGAAGAUCUCUGUCAGGGGGAGUAUUUCUUCGUCUCUAAAAAGGGGAGAAAUUUUCUUUCUAAAAGAGAACACUCAUUUAGGGGGAGUAACCUUUUGAGGUCAAGUUUUUUAUCUACUUCCUACAUGCUUUUAAUGCCUUCCUUUUCGGUGGUUGAUGCCAAAGGGGGAGAAGUUUAGGGACCAAAGCAAUGAAAACUAUAUCAAACACCAAACACCACAAAUUUAAAAUUUUAAAAUCUACAAAUGGUUUUUCAAGUGGUUUUGGUUAUUUGGUACAAAAAUAGGAAUUAAGUGAAUUAUGGAGUUAGGGGGAGGCUUAAGUCCAUAAUAUCACAUUGUGGGGACAAACAUGCAUCCUAGCAAGUAGAUUGCAUAAUGUCAUUCAAAUAACUGUAUUAUUUGCUUGCUUUGGUUGUGUUGUCAUCAAUCACCAAAAAGGGGGAGAUUGUAAGGAAAAUGGGCCCCGGGCCAUUUGGCUAAUUGAGUUUUGGUGUUUGAUGGUCAACACAAUCCGUUAACUAAUAAGUUUUCUAGUGUUUGUGUUUGUAGUUCACAGUAUGCAAGAUUAACUUGGACUAAGGAAUUGAGGAAAGCAACACCUCAAAAGAAGACAUUCAAAAGAUCCAAGAAAAGUCCAAGUGUGCUGCCUGCGGACUGUCUGUGCGUGGAGCACCGGACUGUCCGGUGGCACACCAGACUGUCCGGUGCCCACACGCCGGACUGUCCGGUGCACCAGGGAACCAUAGCCUAACGGUUAGUUCCAGGUGGCACCCGGAGAGAAGACCACCAGACUGUCCGGUGUGAGGACCGGACUGUCCCGUGUGGAAAGCCUGCGGUGCCAACGGUCACCUGCUCUGACAGGGCAACGGCUAGGCGCACCGGACAGGCUACUGUGCGCUAUCCGGUGCACCACCGGACUGUCCGGUGUGCCGCAGAAAGCAGAAGCUUUUCUCCAACGGCUCUAUUUGUGUUGGGGGCUAUAAAUACACCCCCAACUGGCCAUUUCGAAGUGUGGGAGCCCAAGAGACAUACCAAGGCAUAUAGUAGACAUUCCCACGUGCUCUUACACCAAGUGCUUAAUAAAAUCACUCGGUGAUUAGCGUAGGUGCUUUGCGAAGUACUUAGGUUAGUUAGACCGCUUUAGCGCUUGCUCUAGGUGAACCCUAGAUUGUUGAGUAAGUUUAGAUAAACCUCACAACCCUCGGCUCUUGCAUGAGCCGUUGUAAUUGUACUGAGUUGGGCGAGUGUCUUGCAAGACCGUGACAACCGCGUUUGUGUCACGGCCGCCACCGUGUACCGGAGGGAAUGAGGCCCGUGGCAUUUCGGCUGGAAGGUCGAUAGUGGAGACAGAGGGGAUCGUCUGAGAGGAGCCGGAAGCGGAGCACCACUUGCGCGUGGAGAAGGGCCGCGGCUCUCUACGGAGUUACUCGACCGAGGUGCUUGGCCCUCGCGUGGGCUUCCCUUUGCGUAGGGGCACCAACGAGGAUUAGUCGGGACCUUGCGCGGUUACGGAUACCUCGGUAAAAAUACUGGCGUCAUCCAUGAAAGUUUGUUUCUCUACUUUGCUCUUUAAGUUUCCGCAUUUAUAUUAAGCAUUUAAGUUUCAAUCUUGUAUUCAUACUUAUUUAGUGUAGAUUGAAACUUAGCCACUGCGGUAGAGAUAGCAACACUUAGACAAAACCUAGUUUGCACAUUCUAGUUUGAUUAUUUGCAUAUGUUUUGCUCUAGGGAUUUAAUUGUGGCCUAAUUUAGCAAAAGUUUUAGAAGUCCUAAUUCACCCCCCUCUUAGGUGUCACUCGUUUCCAACACACUGUUUUCCCUUUUGAUUAUGAUAAUGGUACUUGUGGCCCUUAAGGGGACUCGAGUUGUUUCUCGAGUGCCUCUUCGUAAGGACCUGUUCGUUGGAUGACCGCCCGGGAAAAUAGUGCAACCAUGAGGGUGGAGUGGGACGCCCUUAGCUGAGUAAUUAGAGGAACUGGGUGUAGUUCGCUUCGCCGUCGUGCCGUUAAUGGGGCUCGGUGUAUGCGGCUCGCUCUGCCAAGGUUGGUUCUCCCCUUGUGGAGGAGUGCGGUGCAUUUAGGAAACCUAACGGGCGGCUACAGCCCCAGGAUAUCUUUGUAAAGGCUACAUAGUGAGACCCUGCCUAUUCACCUUGGUAGUGUUUAAGGGUUUGAUCGGCCCGAGGCAAGAGGGAAUCACAGCUUGUGACUAAAGUGCGCAACCUCUGCAGAGUGUUAUGAAACUGAUAUAUCAGCCGUGCUCGCAGUUAUGAGUGGCCAUGGGAGCUCCAUUGAUUAGAGAUGGUUGGUUUAUAGGUGGUGACGAGGAUGAUAGUUUUGGUUAUGACUAUGGUACUGGUAAGUGGUAUUCUUUCCGUUCGGAAAGGGUACAACGGGUUAAUAACUUGGUUUAAUGUUAAAAUUUGGCUUUCUACUAGUAAGUAAUAACCUGACCAACUAAAAGAAACUACUUGAUUUAACUCCACAUAAAGCUAGUCCACUACAGCCAAACAGGACAUAUUGCUGAGUAUGUUGAUGUGUACUCACCCUUGCUUUACACACCAACCCCCCCCCCCCCCCCCCCCAGGUUGUCCGCGUUGCAACCACUGUUCAGGUGAAGAUGAAGUCGUGGAGGAGGACUUCCAGGAGUUCCAAGAGUACGAUGAGUUCUAGGCGUUGGUUAGCGGCAAACCCCCAGUCAGCUGCCUGUGUAGGCCGUGUGUAUCUACGUUUCUUUUUCGCACUUUGAUUAUUGUUAAAGACUAUGUGGAUGUCUCGGACAUCAUGAUGUAGUCGACUAUUAUACCCUCUUUUAUGUCAUUAUUUUAGCACUGUGUGAUGAUGUCCAGUUAUGUAACUGUUGUGUACGUGAAUUGCUGAUCCUGGCACGUACAUGGUUCGCAUUCGAUUUGCCUUCUAAAACCGGGUGUGACAGUCGUCGAUGAAUACCACAACAAACUGGUCAAGAUACUCCAUGAAUACUUUAUUCGUGAGGUUCAUAAAGUAAGCCGGUGCAUUGGUUAAUCCAAAUGACAUAACCAAAAACUCAUAUAGUCCAUAUCUUGCAGUGAAGGCCAUCUUAGGAAUAUCUUCAGUCCGAAUCUUCAAUUGAUGAUAGCCUGAUCUUAGAUCUAUUUUUGAGAAUACUUUAGCUCCACUCAUCUGAUCAAACAGAUCUUCAAUCCGAGUUAAUGGGUAUUUGUUCUUAAUUGUUACUUCAUUCAAGCUUCUAUAGUCAACACACAUUCUUUUUGAACCACUUUCUUAUUCACAAAUAGAACUGGGGCUCCCCAUGGUGACGAACUGGAGCGAAUAAAACAUUUUUCUAGUAAUUCUUCUAUUUGCUUCUUCAAUUCAAUUAAAUCUUUGACAUCCAUUCGGUAAGCUCUUUUUGAAAUUGGUGCAGUUCCGGGUAAUAGUUCAAUAGAAAACUCUAUAUCAUGAUUAGGUGGCAUACCUGGUAAUUCUUCCGGAAAUAUGUCUAGGUAUUCACACACUAUUCUGAUGUGCUCCAAAGAUUUCUUCUCCAAUUGAUUUACCAUUGCUUCUGCUAUUACUGGCAUACUGACAUUGACUUCAAUUCUUUCUCCUUGCGGACUGGUUAACGUAACCAUGCUCUUAGCAAAAGGUAUUACUCCAUCAUACUUGGUUAAGUAGUCUAUUCCAAGUAUCACAUCGAUUCCACUUGAUUCCAAAAUUAUCAGCUCUACUAUAAAGCUUAGGCCUCUAAUUUCAAUCUUAGUCUGAGGGCAUGAGUGAGUGGCUCUAAGUUCACCUCCCGGUGAUUGAAUUAAUAGUUUCUUCUUCAAGGGAUAGUUCAGUAUUUUAUGCUUUUCCACAAAUGACUUUGUUACGAAGGAGUGAAAUGUUCCAUAAUAAAAUAAAACUGAUGCAGGUAUGGAGUUAAUAAGAAACAUACCAUACACCACGUCGGCAUCCUCAGGAACUGAUUCUGCUGUCACUUGAUUAACUCUUCCCCUACUUUGGUUUUGCGGAGUCUUGUUCUGUGCAGAUCCACGAGCAGGUGUAUUCUGAUCAGCCCGCUGGUUGUUGUUCCUCUGAGUGUUUGUUGAUUGCGCCUUGGGUAGUUGUUAGCAUAGUGGCCAAGUUCGCCACACUUGAAACAACCAUUGGGUUGGACUGGGGUGUUUGUGGUUGUUUUUGGCCGGCCGGUGUGUUCAAGGCGCUUCCUUGACGAUUCUGAUGUUGACCACUAGACCUUUGACUGGUCUGAGUGUUGUUCCUCUGCUGGUUCUGAUAUUGGUUGCUCUUUUGACCUUGUUGUCCGCAGUGUUGUGCUUGGUAGUUGUUGUUCCCACUCUGAUUUCCAGAGCGGAACUGAGAACCUUGGGAGUUGUUUUGACGGGUAUUCCUGCUAGACUGCCCUUGGAACUUUCUCUUGUGAUCAGACAACUCUUUUCUUUUGCUUUCAAGGUCAAUUGCCUUGUUAAGCGAAGUCUGAACGUUGGGAAAGCUGUGGCUCUGUACCUGAUAGCUCAAAGGCCCAAUCAAGCCUUCCAAGAAACGUUCUUGGCGCUUCUCGUUAGUGUCUACUUCUUCUAGGGCAUAGCGUGAAAACUUGGUGAAGCAAUCAUGGUACUCACUAACAUACAUGUUCCCUUGUGUGAGGGAUAGGAACUCCUUCUUGAGCUUUAUUAUUCCUGAGGGAAUAUGGUGAGCAUGGAAGUUCACCUGGAAUUCCUGCCAGGUUAUGGCGCCAGCAUUAGCAUGUGCCGCGGUGAAGGCAUCCCACCAGUUGGACGUGGCACCUUCAAGUCUUCCCGAAGCGUACAAGACCUCUCAGUCAUUGCAUUGGGUGAUGUCCAGUUUCUUCCUGAUGACCUUAAGCCAGUCAUCAGCAUCCAAGGGGUCAACUGCUUGAGAGAAAGCAAGCAGGUGAUGGCUCAUAAAAUCCCGACGCUUGUCUCUAGCUUGGGGCGUAUUCUGCUGCUGAUGUUGGUUAUGCUGAUUCUGCUGAUUUUUGCUGUAUCUGCUGCACAGAAGCAGUGAGUCCUUGCAAAAGCUACAUCUGCGCUGCAAUGAAUUGCUCCAUGUUGGGAUUUUGUGGCGGUGGUGGCAAUUGCUGACCACACUGGUUUAUGUUGCUCCUGGGACCUGAGCGAGCGUUCACCAUCUGGUUGGCUAGAAAGUGCAAUCCUUAGAGAAAGAUUCUAGGGGGAAUAGUUUUUAUUAAAGUUAAGUUUAUAUAUAUAUAUAUAUUUUAUGCUCUUAUGGUCAUUAUUUCAUAAGACCAUUGCACUCAAGUAAAAAUCCAAAUCAAACAUUGCAAACAACACCAUCACAUGGUUGUUAUUAUUAUAAGUAUAGUAUUAUAAAGGUGUUCAUCGUCUAACGCAAAAAUUAACUUAUUACACUGUAAAUGAAAAUCUAUAGCAGCCUGGUGAUGCAUCCUUGUUCUCCAUAGCGGAUCCUCUUGCGGGGAGGGGACAACGUCAUGGCAGGGACUUGAGCUUCAGGGGGAUCCCUUCCUUCUAGUUGAGCUUCCAGGGUUGCAAUCCUUACAUGUGCAUCCUUCAGCUCCAAAUGUACCCUAGAGAGUUCCAGCACAGCACUAUCCAGGUCGGUGUUAAGACCUGCCACCACACCAACUUGGGUGUUGAGGCGAUCUUCUCUAGCUCCACCUAGAACAAUGCUGGUCUGGCAUUCUCCAUGAAGACGUAGAGGAAGAUGUAUGUACUUCGUGUUGUGCAGCUACUGCCGAUAAGUGUGGCUGAGGGACCAUAGAGUUUGCCUAGCAGCAUCGCUGACCGAAGCAGCGUAGGUGGAUAGCGGCGUUAGAGACUCAUGAGCUAACAGAGUCCUAAACCCUCUAUCCCCUGCAUCCAUCACCCUGACAUGAAUGUGUGUGACCUAGAAGCAAGCCCGAGGGAGCUCGUACACUCGCCUUGUCCCAUAUAGGGGUCGGACGUAGGUUCCCAACGCAUGCAGAAUAUCCUGCAGCAGGUUAGGGAAGUGCCCCGUCUCGAACAUUGAUGUAUAAUGUUCGGUGACAGGCCAUAUCCCCAUGAAGUGGUCCAGCUGUUCACCGUUGGCUUCCUCGUUGAUGUUCUCCUCCUCCUCCUCUUCUUCUUCUUCUACUUUGUCUUCAUCAUCGUCACAAGAGUUGUCCGAGUCGUCGCCUCCGGGAGCAGGGGCUUGGACUACUGGUGCUGGCGGUGCUGAGGAUGACGAUCCAGAUGCGAAGGCUAGUGAUUCUACCAACGGGGUGGGCGUAGGCAGAAUCUCCUCCGAGUUGUCCGCCGGAAUAACUCUGUUCUCCACACGAAUGCGAGGGAGAUCCACAGGGAUUUCCUCGACUACCACUGGGUAGACAGGAACUUACCGUGGUGGAGGGAUGUAGUUGGUGUUGGUCCGGGUGGUUUGGAUUGUUUGCACCAUCUACAAGAGAAAAUGUCAACUUAGUUGAAUUUUAAAGAGGUAAGAUUAAUAAAAUAAUUUUGUAAGAAUAAAAUUAGCAUGUUUUGAACAGACUAGGUUUUCCAUUUCUGACUAGUCUAAUGACCUAGAGUCAGCAUAGUUCUGAUAUCACUUCUGUCACACCCGGUUUUAAGGGCAAAACUGAAUGCAUAGCAUAUGUGGGCCAGGAUCCGUUUUCCACACAUAUGUUGACGUCACAAGUGUAAUAUAUAAAAAGACAAUGCAAUACAGGCGUAAAAAGGAGUAGAGUAACUUUAUUACAUCAUCCAGAUCGUAGUAUCUUAAACAAGUAUCGUUAUCAAUGUAUGGCAGAAUUAAACAUGGACGCUCUUCCACUGGAAGGUGACUGGCGCAUCGUUAGACUCAAAAUUCAUCAACGUCAUCUGCGAAGUCUUCGUCAUCACCCUCUGAUCAAAAUAUUAGCAAGGGUGAGCUCACUUAUGGUCGGGGCUCAUCAAGUGGGUGAAAUAAUGCAAAGUUAAUAAGGUAUGCUAUAUAUAAGCAGUAAGCAUUUUAGUUGGUCAAUAUUUUAUUAGCAACACCUAACUUACUAAUUGUAAGUGUAUCCCAAAAUUUCCCAGUUAAACAUAAGUACAUGAGUAUAUCUCAAAACACUUAAGUGAAAUCACUUAAGCAAACCAUUUGUGGAUCAUCGGAUCACAAUUUAUUUUCCAUCUUUAAGUUCAAUUAUCAUGUGAGGGUCCAUGUUGCUCUUAACCGUGAGCAUGACUAACAUAUCAGUUUUACACUCUGCAGAGGUGGUACAACUUUACCCACAAGUCGUGUAUUCCAUCUAGCCUGGGUUGAUCGGACCCAUAAACACUUCCUAGGUGAAUGGCUAGGGAUCCACUACGAGACUUUCACAAAAUAUCCUUAGUACAAAGCCACCCGCUAAGGUUUCCACGUCAGUAUUGAUGGCCCUCUUUGUGAGGUAACUUAGCCAAGACUACCACCCCAUGUUAACAUGAGCUGCCACCAAACCACUGCCGCCCCCUCUUGCCCAUCUUUCAGGUAGGGUUGCUAAGCACUAAGUCUAUAGAGCUAAUUACCAAAGCCAAAGCCAUUAUAGCACUCGUGGUUGCACUGUUAUCCUGGGUGGUCACUCCAUGUUCCAUUUAAUACAAAAUGUUCUUGUUUAACCAUCGGGUUAACAUCAUAAUAAAAACUUCAUUUCCAGAACAUAUUAUCAUUAAAUGAGUGACAUCAUAUUUAUCAAGUUGAGCAAUAGCAAAAAUUGCUAAGCAUAGCAUUUAUCCCAGGGUAAGUCAAGGAAUAGGGUUGGUAAUUCUAGGAAAUCCUUAUUUAGGCAAAUCCCAUCAAAUUAUGCAAUAUCCAAAAAGUAAACAUUAUUAUAUGCAUUAUUUGGGUACAAAUAAAAAUGUAGAGGGAGAAUCCACUUGCCUUGCUCGAACGUGUCCUGCGUGUCAUCCUCAAACGAGUUUGGUUCGUCUACCUCGCAGUCAACUUCUAACACAGAUUCGCAUAUCAUACAUACAAAAGAAUGCAUACGCCAAAUAAAUAAACAUACACCAUUACAUGGGUAACAUUCACCAUUACAUAAACAAUCACAUAUCACGCAACUAUACUUAUAAAUAAUGUCUAAAUCAUAACUAUUUUGUCAAUACACUAAAUUUUCCACUUUGAGUUAUCAUUGGUGAAAAUUAUAUGAGCAUGUGACUAAGAAGGUAUUUUAUCUAACAUAGCUUAGAUAAAAUGACUUAAAAAAUUUUAUGAAAAUGAUUACUAAUUAAUUAGUUUCUUUAUGACUAAUAAUAAUAUUCUGGUUUUAUCCUUUCUUUUCUGAAUAGAAUUUAUACGUAUUGCUAAAAUGUUUAUUUAUAAAUCACAUAACAUUAAUAUUCUAAGAGUUAAUGUAAAUUACUAAUUUUGGACUUUAGUAAUAUAAUCAUGAUUAUUUCGACAUAAAAGGUAUUUUACUAAUUCUUAGUGAAUAAGUGAUAUGUGUAUGACACAAAUAUCAUGAUUAGUAAAACCUAUAUUUUAACCUGAUCGACAAGAUGUGGCCUAGUACCUCUUUCAUUUUCUUAUAUCACUAAAAUUAUACUUAAACCACUACUGACAUAAUAUUGUUUUAUGUGCUAAAAUGAGAAGUUAGUCACAAUGUUUUUAAUACUAUAUCACAAAAUUAAAGAAUCGUGACAACCUAUGUAUUUUUUUCAAAUUAUAAAAAUAAUGUCCAUAUUCAAAAUAUUAUUGCCGGGGUUGAUUCAAAAUUACACGUAUACUUCGAGGAGUAGCACAUAAGGUUUUUGGAUCUCUUUUACAUACAUUUGUACUCCAGAAAAUAUAGAAAUAAUUUUCAGAAAUUCUGAGGGCCAAAACGCAAAACAGCUUUCUUCUACCUUGAGCUAGUUCGUGCGUGUGAAUCAUCUAGGCCCCUUAGUGAUGUUUUGGUAAUUAAUGACAACUGCUUGUGGACUAACGGUUCUUGAGAAAUAAGAAUGCAGGGUUGGACGACAUAGAACAGGAAAUCUUGGAGAUUCAUAAGCAUUGAUUGUGGAUCAAGUGAAGGCAAAGGUAUAACAUAUGUUUUGUUUUUUGCCGGUCAUGAGGAGUUUAGAGAAGAUACUUGAUCGAAUUAGUAGGUUAGAUAGUCGUACUAUUAAGAGGGGUCAAUGACCUGAUCUGUGUAAAACUUAGUGCCUCAUAGAGCAUCCAGUGGUUGCAUUUGCAUGAGAACUAACAGCGCUUCAAAUUUCAUGAGUUAAAAAUCCUUUCAAAAGCUUGUUUGAAAAGUGCAAAGUCUUGGAUGCGCGGACCGUCCGGGUCUUGAGGGCGGACCGUCCGCGAUCCACCAGUGGGGUCCGAAGUCUGACCACUUCGGACAAGUCCUAUUCAUUUGCACUGCGGACCAUCCAGGCCUUGGGGCCGGACCGUCCGCAGUACUGACCAGAGAAGACUGCUUUCGGGACAGUCCCUGAAUUAUAGUGCGGAUCGUCCGACUUUGAUGAGUGGACAAUUCGCAGGUGCCAAAUAUGGUUUGGGCAGGGACUGUGUGGUUUUUGGGAUUUGUACUACAGACUGUCUGGAGGAUAAGUCCGAACAGUACUGUCUUCAGGUCUCGGCCCGUCCGGCCUUGUAGGUGGACGAUCCGCCUGUGUUAACUGCUCUUGGUCCGAGGUCCGGGUGCUUCAAGUUGCCAGGUCGCGGACGGUCCGACCGAGGUGGGCGGACUGUCCGGACCUAACUUUUCUGACAGCUCUGACAGAUUUCAAAUGGGGAAUAUAGCCAUUAUGUGUACGGCGGACCGUCUGGCCCUAGGGCGCGGACCGUCCGCGUGUGCGCAGAACAAGUGCUUUUUGCCCAUAACGGUUGGAAUCUAGUGGGGGACUAUAAAUAGAAGGGUAGCUCGUGUGUGAAUACUCUCUUGGCUAUUCCUUGCAUACAUUGAGCUCAAUUGUGAUCCUCCAACUCACUCUCUCACACUCUUUGCUUGAGAUUGCAUUCUAGUGAGAGAUUGAGUGUUCCUAGUGCAUUUGCAUCCAUCGGUGAUUCUUGAGGCACUAGGUUGUACACCGAGCAAGCGUCAUCGGCUUGUUACUCUUGGAGGUUGCCGCCUCCUAGACGGCUCGGGUGAUUGUCUCCGUCGAGCUCUCUAAGAAGAUUGUGGAGAAGCCGUGGUGUUGAUUGUGAGGGGUUCGCGCCUACCUUGCCGGAGCGGCAAAGGUGACAUUAGUGGAAUCGAGGUAUUGAGUGAUUUCUUGUCCACUUGGCUCAAAGAUCAAGCCAUGUCUUGAUAGAGGAGCAAGUGAGAGCUUGAAGUCCACCUCAACGUGGAUUAGGGGUGAUCGGCAAAUCACCGAUACCAUGGGAUAAAAUUCGGUGUCUUUACUUUCUUGCAUUACUUAUUGCCAUGCAAGUGAUUAGUGUUUUGCAUAUUGUUCUUCAAGUAUUCAAUCACCUUAGUUGAUUCUCAUAUAUUGUUUACUUGUUGUCACUAGAGAAUUUAUACCUCUUGUUAUAUUGAUUAAAUUUCCCUAGUGUUUUUGAUUUUAGUCAAAACAGUCUAUUCACCCCCUCUAGCCGGUGUCCUAGAUCCUACAAGUGGUAUCGGAGCCAAGGACUCCAUUGUUUGUGGAUCUAUUCAUCCCGGAGUGGGACAAAAUGGCUAGUAACAACAAUGUGCACAUUGGGAAGCCACCGCAUUUUAAUGGGAAUAACUACGACUAUUGGAAAAUAAGAAUGUCAAUGCAUCUUAGAGCAAUGGGUGGAAAAAUUUGGCCAAUUGUCAGGGAUGGAUUUGUUGUGUUGAAGGAAGAUGAACCAUCCGUUAGUGACAAUGAGAAUAUUCUUACAAAUGAUGAAGCCAUGAAUGUAUUCUAUGAUGCUCUUGAUAUAAAUGAAUUCAAUUGUAUCAAGAAUCUCAAACCACUCAUGAGAUUUGGAUUAAGCUAAUGGAAAUUCAUGAAGGAACUACAAUUGUGAAGAGUGCCAAGCUAUAUGUGUGCAAAGGGAAGUUUGAGCAAUUUAUUAUGAAGGAAGAUGAAAGUGUAUCCGUUAUGUUCAACCGGUUGAAUGGGAUAGUGAAUGAACUCAAGGGACUUGGUUUUAAUGUACCGGAUGUGGACUUCACUCAUAAGUUCCUUAGAUCACUUCCGGAGAAAUAUGAGACUAUUGUGACAAUGUUAGUAAGAAGUGAUAUAUCUACAACUUCUCCAACCGAAGUAUUGGGGGAAAUUCUUACUCAAGAUAUAUUCAAGAAAUCUCAAGCCGAUGCUAUAAGUUUGGCAAAGAAAGUGAAGAAUGAAUCAAUUGCACUCAAAGCUAAAGCCUCUAAGGCAAUUGAAAAAGAAGAUAGUAAUGAUGAAGAAAAUGAAAGUGAGAGUGAUGGUGAUAUGGCUCUAUUUGUAAGAAAAUUCAACAAAUUUAUGAAGAUGAAGAGAGGUCAACCUAGAAGAGGUCAAACAUCAAGAAGAAAUGCUUUCAAUGAUAGAAAGUGUUUUGAGUGUGGGGAACCCGGUCACAUUGCCAUGAAUUGCCCUAGCAAGAAGAAGAAGGGCAAAGAUAAAAGUGACAAGAAGAAAAAGAAAUUCUACAACAAGAAGAAAGAUGGCAAAGCCUACCUAGUUGAAUGGGACUCGGAUGAUAGCUCAGAUGAUGAUGAGGAUGACACCUCAUCCAAGCUUAAUGCCGGAUUUGUCAUCAAGGAAGCUCCGUCACUCUUCUCAUCCCCCCAUUGUCUUAUGGCAAAGGGAGAUGCUAAGGUAAAAAUCAUCACCGAUUUAAAUGAUAUAAAUGAUGAUGAUGAUGUUGAUGAUGUUGAUGAUGAUGGCUAUUCAUAUGAUGAUCUUGUUAGAAUGUUAGGUGAGGUCGAUGACUACAUGCACAGAGAAAAAGAAAAAUUUAAGACCUUGAAGGAAUUGUAUAAAAACCUCCAAGUGUCUUUUGAGGAGCUCAAGACCUCUCACAAUGAUCUAAAAGAAAAUUGUGAGAAGCUUGCGGAUGCUCAAAAAUCAUCUAUUGUGCAUGAAGUUGUGGUGGUCACUGAGGAUGUUGGAGUCACUUGUGACUUACUUGAUAGUCUUACAAGUGAACCACUACCUACUAACUCUAUUUGUGAUAAAUGCAAAAUUUCUCUCAUGAAUGAUAAUAUUGCUCUUGAUGAAUCAAAAAUCAUUGUUGAGAAUGAAGUGUUAGUAGAUAGAAUAAAUACUCUAACUCAUGACCGAGAAAAGGCAUAUGGUGGAAAGGCUAAAUUGGAUUUCAUAUUGGGAAGUCAACGGUGCUCACUUAACCGUGAAGGUCUUGGAUAUGUUCCCAAGAAAGGAAAGAAUGCUUUUGUAAAGCAAAAGACAUUGUUUGUGAAAGAAUGUGACAAAGUGUGUCACAAGUGUCACAAGAAGGGACAUGUCAAGAAAAAUUGUCCUAAGCUCAAAAAUGUGUCCUCCACUUGUUUUGAGCAUUGUUAUGUUCUUUCUCAUAAUGCAAAAGGUGUUCAUGCUAAAUUUGUUGGUACUUCAAUUGUUGGAAGCAAAAAGAAAGCUAUUUGGGUGCCAAAAACCUUAGUCACUAACAUCCAAGGACCCAAGCAAGUUUGGGUACCUAAAAGAGAUUGAUUUCCUUUUGUAGGCAAACUACAAGGCGGGAGGGAAUCAUUGGGUGUUAGAUAGUGGAUACACUCAACACAUGACCAGAGAUAUGAAAAUGUUCACCCAAAUGAGUGAGGAAGAUUGCUCAAAUUAUGAUAGUAUCACAUUUGGAGAUAAUCGCAAAGGAAAGGUUAAAGGAUUGGGUAAAAUUGCUAUUUCAAAUGAUCAUUCCAUAUCAAAUGUGCUCUUGGUUGAGUCUUUGAAUUUUAAUUUACUACCUGUAGCUCAAUUAUGUGAUUUAGGAUUUAGUUGCAAUUUCACGGUUGAUGAUGUUAUUAUCUCUAGUGUUGAUGGUAGCAAUCUUAAGUUUAAGGGUUUUAGACAUGAAAAUCUUUAUCUUGUUGAUUUCUCAUCUAGUGAGGCAAAGCUCACAACUUGCUUAUUCUCAAAGGCUUCACUAGGUUGGUUAUGGCAUAGAAGACUUGGUCAUAUUGGAAUGAAGCAACUCAAUCGGUUAACCAAGCAUGACUUAGUUCGUGGCUUGAAAGAUGUAAAGUUUGAGAAGAACAAAUUGUGUAGCUCUUGUCAAGCCGGGAAGCAAGUGGCAAAUACUCAUCCAAAUAAAAGUCAAAUGUCCACUCAUCGACCUUUGGAAUUACUUCACAUGGAUUUAUUUGGGCCCACAUCAUUUGUGAGUAUUGGUGGUAAUUCCUAUUGUCUUGUGAUUGUGGAUUAUUAUUCAAGAUUCACUUGGGUUUAUUUUCUUCGAGAUAAAUCUAAUGUGUUUGAAACAUUCAAUUCAUUUGCUAUAUUGGCUCAAAAACAAUUUGAUUUUGAUAUCAAGAAAGUUAGAAGUGAUAAUGGGUCGGAAUUCAAAAAUGCAAGAAUUGAUGAAUAUUGUGAUGACAAGGGUAUUAAACAUGAAUUCUCUUCCAAAUAUACCCCAGAACAAAAUGGUAUUGUUGAAAGAAAGAAUAGGACUCUCAUUGAUAUGGCUAGGUCUAUAUUAGCGGAAUAUAAUGUAUCGGAUUCUUAUUGGGCCGAGGCAAUAAAUACCGCUUGUCAUUCAUCAAAUAGACUAUAUUGUCACAAGCUUUUGAAGAAAACUCCCUAUGAAUUGCUUAUUGGUAGAAAGCCAAAUAUCUCAUAUUUUAGGGUAUUCGAUUGCAAAUGUUAUAUUUUGAGAAAGGGAAGCCGGCUUUCUAAAUUUGAGAAGAAAUGUGAUGAGGGUUUUAUUCUUGGAUAUUCAUAAAAUGGUAAGGCUUAUAGAGUCUUCAACAAAACUCAUGGUAUUAUUGAAGAAGCAUAUGAUGUUGAGUUUGAUGAAACAAAUGGGUCUCAAGAUGAAAGUGACAAUCUUGAUGAUGUUAGUGGAACUCAAUUGAAAAAUGCAAUGAAAGCAAUGGCCAUUGGUGAAAUAAAGCCAAAGGAACAUGAUGAUGAAAAUAGUGUGGUUGUCAUUCCUUCCUCUUCAAAUCUAAAUGAAGAAGAUCACCAAAGCCAACAAAAUGAUGAAAUUAUGGAUACUCAUGAUCAAGGUACUUCAAGACAUUCGGUUCCUCCUAAUGCUUCAACUAGCAAUUAUCAAACCGUAUCAAGAAUUCAUCAUUCUAUUGUGAAGGAUCACCCGGUUGAUCAAAUUGUGGGUGAUAUUAGUAAGGGUGUUCAAACUCGCUCUCGUAUAGCUUCAUUUUGUGAACAUUUCUCUUUUUUAUGUUGUAUGGAACCUAACCGUGUAGAUGAAGCUCUACUUGAUGUUGAUUGUGUAACACCCCUGGUGUUACUAUAACUAAAACUUGAGCAUGGCAUCAUAAGCAUUGGCAUUGCAUAUGUUUGACACACCUAGAGUGCAUUCACUACGCAAAAAUUUCAAACAAGUUGUGUUGUUUUAAUGUUUUGCAAAUAGGACCCUGGAUAGGAAGCUUUAACCCUAAAUAGGGAUUAAAGGGGUAAAACUUAACCCAAGUUGAGAAAACCUAAAAGCUUUAGGGUAAAAGUCAUAAAAUGACCCCAAGAAUAAACUUGAAUCACUUUUAUACCCCUGGGAUAUUAAAAACCCUAAUUGGAACCCUAGAAAACCCUACAACCAAAUCCUAGGGACUUAUGUGCAAAAGUGAUGAACCUUUGGACUAAAGUGUAAAAACUACUAUGUUUGAACAUAUAAAGUCAUUUGGUUCACAAAUAUGUGAAUUUGCAAGUUAAACCCUAAGUUUUGGGCUUAUUUGCAAAAAUCACCUCUUAAGCACUAUAGAGCCUAAGUCUGAAAUUCAGUUUUGUUGGUUCAACUUUGGAGCCCUGUAUCUUUUGAAAUAUAGGGUUUUUGCCCAAAGUGACCACAACAAGUUUGUAGCCCAAUUAUAGGAGAACAAUUUUGUUUAAGGAUUCAAGCCAUGUUCUUAUGAGAAAUGUGGAGAAAAUCUCAACCCAAGUUGGACUGUCAGGCUGAUACAAUCUGAAUUUCAGAUGGACAGUGACUUGGAUCCAAGUUUGAGAACCAAUUUAACCUUGAUCCAGAGAGAAUCUGUCUUGGAGUGCUAUAAUAAAGAUGUAGCUGAUUUGUAGCUCUCCAACUUUACUGCAGAGUAUGGAAUAUGUUACCAUAGGAAUUUGUGAGCAAAUCGAGCCUAAAUAUUGGCUGUCAGGCCAACUGAAUGAGUUAGUCGAUGGUACAGUAACCUGCUUGGGUUCAGAACACUUCACCGCCGUCGAUCACUCCUCCGCCGCGAUUCGUGUCGCCGGCGUUAGGAUUCGCGCUCGGGUGGGUGGAUAACAUCGCAAGAUGAAAGAUCUUUGUCGUCGGUGUGCUGGAGGUCACUCCGGUGACUCACCGUCACCUUCUCCUUUCUGUUUUGCGGCUGAGCAGAUAAGCUCGCCGGGGAACCACCGUCGCACGACCUUGCGCCACGUAUCUGAGUACCUCCACCGCAUCGCCGUGCUUCGUUUUAGCUUCCCGCCGAUCACCGGAGUUGUCGCCACGACGGUUGCCACGAGUUCACUUGCACCAGUAGCCUUUUCCCUCUCCGGCCGCCACCGCGCCAUCAUAAAUUCAAGCGCCACCGCCCCUGGAAUCUAUAAAUUGAGCCCGCCGUUAGCUCCGCAACCUCAUCACGCACCACACCGUCUAGUAUCGCUCCCAAUCUUGCAACCGUGAGCUCCAAUUUCUAGUUUCCCCCAAUUCUGUUCUGAAACACCGUAGGGUCGAGCUCACCGUGGCCAAUCCUCCACAGGUUUAAUCAUACCAUCCUCGUUCUUGUUUUAGCAUCUCUGUGUGCUGGUGAUGCUCACCAACUCGCUCAAUUGAGCUAGGAUCCCAUGAAUCACCGGGAACGUGUAGGUUGUUAGUUCAUCCGCGCGCUCACCGUGGCCAGAGACAUUGGUGUAGUUGUUUAUGAAAUUAACUUGGGGAAAACCUUUACUCGGCCCUGAAUUCGGUUUAGACCAACGUAGAGCGCCAGUACUUGCCCCAAUCGGCCGACCUACUAGCUCGUCGGAGCUCCACAGCGCGCUGCCGUCGUCGGGGACUCCACCUUGCAAAAGGAUAGAACUACGGGGAUCUUUUUAUAAAUGGUCAGCGACUUGGUUAAACAGUAGUGAAACCCGUUUCCAAUUAUUCAAGAAGACAAGGGCCUCUGCGCAAACUCGCCGUGCGGGCGCGCGCGCUGGCACGAUUCCCCUCUGGGCUGGGCCGUAUGGGCUGCUUCUGGCCCAGCGCUGUUUAACUUUUCUCCUUUUCUUUUUCAGUAGAACUUUGAAAACCUAUAGAAAAUUGUAAAAAAAUCCUAAAAUUGUGAAACCAAUUUUCCUAGACUUCUUAUUUUCUCUAGAAUUUAAUAAAAAUAGUUUCAUGAAUUUUAGUUUAAAUAAGGAAUUUUAGGGCAUUUAAAAUAGCUUAAAGAAGUAGUUCUGGAUUUUUAAAAGAUAAAUGGUAAUCCCAAAAUUGCCCAAACUUUUUAUGUGAGCUUUUCACAUUAUUUAGAAGCCAUGGGUAGAGUUUGGUUUGAUUUGAACAUUGUUUGAUAACUAGAACCCAAAACCCCUACCCCUGCCCUUUGAACUCCUUUACUGACUCCGGAAACCCUAAGUUCUCGGAGUUCCGUGAAGGAAAGUUGCAUUCAAGACAUAGAUAAUAAGUUUAUAUUAUCUUUGCAUCCUCAUGCACAUUACAUGGCAUCCAUUCUUAUAUAUAUAUACCUAUAUGGUUAUAUUUAGAAAACGAAGAAGAGAGUGAAGUGACUCAAGAGAAGACACCACCACCUUUGGAAUCUCAGGCAGAGACUUGGCUCUACUUCGACAUCUGCGAGUCCGAGCCUGACUCACCUGUGAACAAAGGCAAGCCCCGGUGCAUGCAACCCCUUUCCUUGUGUUUUUAAAAUACUUUUCGCACACUUAAGUCUAGUGAAAUGUGCAUUAGGUUCAUAGGAGUUACUUGAAACCCCUUGAUGCAUUGCUUUCCUUGAUAUCCAUACCUUUAUAGAUCCUUCUGUGAAGUAUCAAAAUAUGAUUUACAAAAAUGCUUAGCCUUGCUUAGAUCUUGUGGAUAGAGGUUGUCCUCAAUUUAACCCGGGAGAGGAUGGCUUCUACCUGCAAGAAUAUUUUCAUUUGGAGCAAUGGUGGGAUCUUACUGCAAAGCUCCCUGUGAUGCUCUUUUCAUCCUUGGGAACAGAAACAAUCCUAAGGAUGGAAGUAUGUAAAUCGAGACUUGGGUUAGGAACAGGUGAUGUUCUACCCAGGUUGAUUAAGGAUUAACGCGUAUGUAGGCUUGAUGAUCGAGGACCCUUUAACUGGUCACAUGCCUCGUCAUGGGUAAGCCUUGCCUCGGGCAGACUAAGGCUAGAAUAAGAUAACACGAAAUGGGCGUGGAGCGGUGGCGAGAGUAGCGUGUACCCUCCGUGGCAAGAGGCUGGACGGUGGUGUAUCUGUGCUCUCGGUUUGCG
rnacentral:lncRNA from 1 species